AAGAAAGAAGUAAAUCACAGAAGAGUCAAAUGUGACUUUUCGAUGCUGGAGAUGGAAGACGAUUCAAAGACACUGCUGGUCUAUAAAAGGACUUCAAGAGUUUACGAUUUAAAGAUCCACAAUAGUAGUUUUCUUUUGGUUAAGUAAAUCCUAAAACUUAUAAAGUGACUUGUUAAGAUCUCUAGACAACAAUUAUUACUUCAGCAGCGUUCUUACAUUUCGACCAUAUGUAGGGUUUCAUGCAAAGCCGAUUUUUCAGCACUCAUAGCUCCAUGUCUGAAACUCCAACCUCAGUAGCAUUCACCAAACGAUCCGAGAAUACAAAAGGUUGCAAUCUUGACUUCUCUUGAAAGUUGUUGGGUCUAUGCUUGAAGAGCUUCGUUUUCGUUUCUCCCUCCUUAUCAGGCCUCUCUUCUUUACGUUUUCUUGUGCUGCUGCUGAUAACUGAGAUAGAUGACACAAUGUGAUCAUCAGCCAUGUCUGCAUCUUGAUCAACCCCAACUUGUUGUUUCAGAGUGACAUCUGGUCUUGACCAGUGAACCACUGUUUUGGCGUAAUUCUUGGAGUGGUCACAGUCAAAAACCCUUACUCCUUGCUCUUCAAGCGAUAAAAGCCAUUCUGGAAAUCAGAUUUUGCACAAUGGGUUAGUCAAGACCGACAUAAAAGCUCCAAAAACAGAUGGGAACCUAUCUAUAUCUUAAAGAUAGAGGAAGCAAUUUACCGAUGAAGGAUACAGGCGUAGAGUUUAGCAGUGUGUCUGCAUCUCUAAUCACUUCACCUUGACUGAUCACCCAGUUGACCAAGUGAUAUGGUAUACGUGAACUGGAGAACAUGUUCAUGUACCUACUGGUUUCCUCUUGAUCUUCAGUUUUCCUGUGUGAUCGUUUGGAGUAUCAAGCAAAACAAUCAAGUAACCAAAAGCAACUACUUUUUAGUAACCAAAUAACUCUACGCAUACCUAAUAGAAGCCUUGGCAAAAAGAAACAACCAGUUGAUAGCAACGUUCUUCAACUGUAAACUCCUUUGAUCAUUUCCACUUCCAGGGUUUAGGAAUAGACUCUCCGCCGAUUCAAUCACAGCUUCCGUUACGGUUUCAAUUAAAGCAGCUUCGUCUUCUGGGCCCUGUAAGAUUUGAAAAGCUUCCCAUGAAAACAUAACUCAAUUCUUUGUUACACACAGUAUGAUUCAACAAAGCAACUCCACACAGUUUUAUAAAUGAAGAACAUUAAUUAAAGAAGAGUAGAAACAAUGUUUAGCUAAAGAACCUACCAGUAGUGGAGUCAGAUGCAGAUAUGGCUCCACCAGAAGCAUCUUGAGAAUGCCAUCUGUGUCAAAGAUCAAGAAACCAUCACAUCACACUACAACAACUCUCCAUAGAAAGCAAAGACUCACCAAAGAAGUAGCAACUAUGGAAGGCAUUGAUCAUCUGAACCACAGACUCUCGCAGAUCUUUUCGUAUCUCCCCCGAAUCAAACCUCAAGCACAAAUUGAGCAAAAGAAGCUGAGAAGCUACGAUUCCAGCUAAGCAACCAACGCUACAAGACUCAGAACCAACCUCUCUCCGCAAUCUUUCACCAACAAACGGCAUGAACAUCUCCAAACAAUCACCCACUCCCACUUCAUCCACAACCCAAACUCGAUUCAAAUCAGCAAAACUAAACCCAGUCACCAUCAACAAAUCAUCCUCAUCCUCACCACCACCACAACCUCCUCGUUCUUCAUCUCCGCAAUACGCGCUAACGUAGCUCACAAUCGCAUCCAACAGCUCCGAAACCUCUUCCUUCCUAGUCUUAACCAACCGAAUCAGAUUGUAAACGAGAGGAGACAGCGUAGCCGCCCUCUUCGCGCCGGAGAAGGACUCGGAGAGAGGGACCAGCAUCUGGAAGAGGCUCCUGGUUAGCCUCACGGAGUCUUCGCCGAAAUCUUGCUUCGAGGAGUGGAAGACGACGGCGGAGUAGAACCAGAGGAGCUCGAGAGGCGGAUCGGGACGGUGGUCUUGGAGGAGGCGAGUGAAGAUGGAUUCGAAAUCGGAGAAAUCGGUUCGGCCCGUACGGUGCUGUGCCAAGAACUGCUUGGUCGAGUCGGUGAGAAGCGGUUUGAGAAACUCGAGGCGAGGGUUAGGGUUACGAAUCGGAGGUUGCAUUUUUCCGUUAACGGUGAGGGAGAAAGGAGUUUGAAUUUGUUGAAAGAAAAUAGAAAAAAGCCCUUUCGAAUAAAGAGAGGGAAUCGGAAGGAAAAUGUUGUAUCUUUUUUUAAAACAAUCUGAAAUUGAGUUUCGAUCCAAAAAGUAUUCGCAUUUUAGUUCUUAACCUCGGAAACUAUUCUCUAAUUAAAAUAUUAGUAUAAGUUUGGGUUUUACAUUUUAGAAAAAUAAUAAUAGUCGUAUGUCAUAUUUAUCACCCAAAACAAGAGGAUUUCUACUUUUUAGGCCAAGAUCCACUGGUCUUAAUCCAAAAAUAUAUUGAAUCCAAAAGCCCAAAAUACAUACCAGAAAUGGAUGAUCUGAUUUUUAUUCGAUUGGCUUACAUGGUCUUAUUCAAAUCCAAAUGAAAAUGAUUAAGAACAUACAAAUAACUAAUUAUGAUGAUGAUCUUUAUAUUUAUAAUGCAUUUUAAAAUUAUUAUGCUGCGGACAAAAUCUGGUAUAUUUAGUGUAAUUGUCUUAAUCCAAAUCUAAAAGGCCAAAACUUCUUGAUUAAUAAUAGGUCAUACAAACUUUUUUUUGCUAGCCUAUAAAACUUUUGUAGAAAAAACGUGGUUAAUCUUCACUUCUAAAUUAAAGUUCAAGUAGUCAAUGUUUAUACUGAAAUUGUGUGUUAUAUAUUAUAAAAUCUUCAUAAUAGUAAUAUAUUUGAUUAGUAGAAAAGAUAGAAUAAAAAUUGACAUGGAAGCAUCCUAUUCUAUUGAUUAAGGUUUAAAAACUUAUACAUCUAAGUUUGGGGUUCGAAUCGCAGACUAUAAAAUUUCUUGCAGAUUAUAAGAUGCAAAACUUUCAGAGUUUCCAGAGUAAAGCAGAACCGUUCGUUGUGAUCCAACUGCUGUGGUGAGAGCCCGUCCAUCGAGAAUGUCGUAUAUGGAGAACCGUCUGUGUUUUCAAGUGUUUUGGGAAGAACUUCAUCGUGGAAUCAUUAUUCGUGGAGCUGUUCAUCGAUAGGGUUAAAAAAUAUCGUAUAAAAAUUGAUUAAUCAGUGUAAAAAGGUAAGAAACAAAAGGUUAGGCUGUGGUAUAUGAUAAGAUAGUUAUGUAUACCUGUUUUUAGUUAAAUGUUAUAAGACUCGCCUGGUUAUCACAACUCCACGAAAAACUCAGAAAAUCAAAAUGGCCAUGAUUACGCGCAACACCGCCACGCGCCUCCCUCUCCUCCUCCAAUCUCACCGCGCCGCAGCCGCGGUCUCUCACCUCCACACAUCGCUUCCCGCUCUCUCCCCCGCGACGACACCGACUUCCUACACCAGACCAGGCCCUCCUUCGACCUCCGCUCCUCCGCCGGGUCUCUCGAAGACGGCGGAGUUCGUGAUCUCAAAGGUAGAUGAUCUGAUGAACUGGGCCCGUAGGGGAUCGAUCUGGCCCAUGACCUUCGGGCUCGCCUGCUGCGCCGUGGAGAUGAUGCAUACAGGUGCGGCUCGCUACGAUCUGGACCGAUUCGGAAUCAUAUUCAGGCCGAGUCCUCGCCAAUCGGAUUGUAUGAUUGUCGCCGGGACGCUUACUAACAAGAUGGCUCCCGCUCUUCGCAAGUAACGCCUCUCUCCCUUUCCUAUGAAAUGAUAUAUAAUCUCCGCUUGAUUUGUUCGUUUGCCUUGUUAUGCUUGUUGAUAGAAGCCUCAAAUUAGGGAUUUCAGGAGAUUGUGAUUGUGAUUUGGGGUUCAUGUGUCAAAGUGAGAGUUUUUAUAUGAAUAAUAAGAGUUGCCUGGGAAGCCAUACCGUUCGUAUUCAUUGUCUAGCACAGAUUUUUUGAAGUUUUUGGUUCAAAGUCAUGAACUUGAGUAGGCAUACUAGGCAGGAGUCAUAUCUCUUUUAAUGUUAUCUGUGUGCUUGUCUUUUGUGGGGAGAUGAAAAAAAAAAUCAGAUUAUCUAGCUUGGGGGAGAAUAUGGGUUAGAGUUAGUUAUCAUGGUUGGAUUUAGCAAAAUUGGUCUUACUAAUUUGAGGUAGGAGAUUCAUUGUUAUAGUGUUUUGUUUUACUUAAUUUUGUAGCUCCUUCUGCUGACUGUUUAGUAUCUUGCUUGGUGAAUUUUCUUUGUUCUCUUUGAGACCUGAUGUCUAUCUUAUUGCGAGGUGUGUUGUUAUGGAAAAUUGAUACAUCUUAUUUUUCUUGUUUGAUGUUAUGAAGCCUUCAUUCAACUGCAUUGCGUAUCUUCUUUUAAUGGGAAUGUAAUGAUGCUGAGCUUAUACGUUUGAUGUCUUUAGGCCCCAAACGCUAUCCCUACUCAUAUCACGACAAGGAACCCUGGGUUCUCAAAACAUCAAUCACCGAGACGAGAAAGUUUUAGAUGCAUUUCGAGAGAGAUGAUUGAUAGCUUUAUAAGUCGUUUGUCUAGAUUGGCUCUAAAUUAUGCUGAGUAAAGUAUUAGCGAACUAGCAUUUUGACCAAAAAAAAAAAAAAGAAAUAAGUUCAAAUCCAUUCUUCAAGCUACCCACAAAAUCAGUGUAGGAUCUAAUAGAAUUAGAGAAGAUUUCUCUGUGGAUCAGUUCGAAUGUCUUAAAGCUUUUGUUCUUGUUUAUACUGUUUGAAGAAGUUGCUAGUUUUCUAAUAUCUGGAAACAAUGACAGGGUGUAUGACCAGAUGCCCGAGCCAAGGUGGGUGAUUUCAAUGGGAAGCUGUGCCAACGGGGGUGGAUACUACCACUACUCCUACUCGGUCGUUCGAGGGUGCGACAGAAUUGUGCCAGUGGACAUAUACGUCCCUGGGUGCCCUCCAACAGCUGAGGCUCUGCUCUACGGACUCCUCCAGCUUCAGAAGAAAAUCAACAGGCGCAAGGAUUUCUUGCACUGGUGGAACAAGUGAACAAGUGACCAAAUCCUUCUUCCUAUGUUGAAGAAGUUUGUAUCAGACAAUUCUUUUACCAAAGUUUGGGGCUAAUAAAACGUGGACGUUUCAAAAGCAUGUUUCUUUGUGGUGGAGAUGCCAUGUAAAGGAUUGCGUUUCUAAGUUUGUUUUGUGGAAACUUAAAUAAACAUAAAGUUAUGUUGUCUGAAUGAGUUACUUUUGUUAUAUCUACCAGUUAACAGCUAUUGAUUCCUACCUACUCUUGUCAAAUCGCCUGUGUAUGUGUAAUGUGCAUAGAGCAGCCCUUUUGUUUUAUCUUAUUAAUAAGGCUAUUGAUCGUUCGGGCCCGUUAGUGUUUUUCUCUGUUGCUUCACACAUCCUGGCUUGUGCUAAUCACACAUCAUUUCUUUAUGGUUUUAGGUUGAUUCGAGCUUUGUGUGUAGUAACUAACCAAGACUUAUUGGAGCAAGUAAGAGGAAUAAAAGGAUCCAUCAUUAUUCAAAUACACAGGUUCACAAUAUGUGACGUAAAGGCCAAUUCGUCACCAAAAAAAAAAAACAACCCUCAAAGACACUGUUUAAGGGAGUAAACUACCCUGUUUAUGUGAAUGAGUGAUUAUUAAGAUGCUCUAAUGCUUCUUGAGAGCGUUCAUCUUGUCCCUGAGGUAAUAAAGUUUGGCUCUUCUUACUCUCUUCUUGUCUAACACCUUAAUCUCCCUCAGGUUUGGCGAAUACCUGUCACCAAACACCCCCACCUCUCACAUAUCAGCAGUUUUUCUCAUGAAAGGAGCCUUGCUUUGCUAUUGCUCAUGAGGCUCACAGAAUGUAAAUCAAUCUUUGCCAUUAGCACAAAGGAGAGGGAGGGUGCAAAAGGUUUAAAAGUACUUACAAGGGGAACAUGGAUUCGACUCCCACCCCAGCCACAAGCCUUCUAAUCCUAAACGUAGAGUUAAGACCAGCGUUACGUCUUGCUAUCACAAUUCCUUUUACGAUUGAAACACGCCUCUUGUUCUCAGGCACUUCCUGUUUCAAACAAGACAAUUUCAACAAAUUCUAAUGAAUGGUUUAGCCUUUUGAAGAUAUAUUUUCGAUCCCAUUCUCAGUAGAGUAUUUUACCACUUUGAGCUGAACAAUGUAACCAGGCCUUAUCUCAGGUAUUUCCCUACCAUUUCUAACUGCCUCAACCGCCUCCUUGUCUACAAUCUGCAGAAGAUUGCAACUUUCUUAAUUUAAUUAUCAAUGACCAAUCGUCAAAGUUGGGAGUUGUACCUGCAUGAUAUGUUUGGCGGUUUUAUCAAGCCGCUUGAACUUGAUUCUCGGAGGCAAAUCAGGAGCUGACACAGAGAAUCCUUGAGGAGUAGAUUGAAUAGAAUCUCCAACGGUGGAAAAGCAUCUCGAUGCAAACGUAAAGUUUUGUCUCUGAGAAACAUAGCCAAAUCACCAUAAAAAUUCAGAGAGUGUCUCAAACACAAAGAAGCCUAAUCUAGAAGAUAUCACUGUGACCCCAAACAUGUCGAGAAUCUACAAAGCACAAAACUUUAUCACUCCUUUCUCUGUAUCUACACAACCUUUACUACCAGACGAGAGAGGCGCAUCACUAGAUAUAUCAACGAAUAUUUCAAGAAGAUAAAAACAAGCAUUGAUGCUGUUUAGGACAAUGAAACUUCACCUAUUUAUCAUCAUACAAUUCUCACAUAACGAAUCUAAGCUAAAUAGACAAACCCAAGAGCAAAGGUUCCGUUUUUAACACUAAAUAGCAGUGGCUAGCUUACGGGUACUGGGGAAGAUAAAGAAACCGCCUUUGUCAGCGAGCUAAUGAGAUACUUCGCUGCUGAAUCAAACCCUCCUAGCCUCCUCGAUUCAUUUUCAGACAAGCUUGGGGAAGACGAAGUGAAACGUGAAAGAGUGUUGGAGAUAUAGACACUGUUCCUCUGAAGCGACCUUGUACUGCUACGAAUCGAUUGCAUUUCUCCGACAAGAAGGCUUGAUUUGGAAGUUUUGCCCAGAUAUUUGGCGGAGUUUGAGCUGAGCCUAAACACUCGCUUUCUCCUCCAGGGUUACGUUUUCCAUUUCCUCCUUUUCUUUAUUAGUAAUUGGCAUAUGACCCCUGAUGUUUUAAGUCCCCUUUUAUUUUGUUUCUUACUAUCUUCUUUAGUUGUUUUUUUGAUGUGAUUAAAGAACCAUAGAGUGAUCAAAUAAAAUUCAAAUAUAAACAUAUGAAACACGCUAAUAACAAAAUGUUUAGUGAAAUUGUCCUCAAAAAUAAUGAAAGAAGAAGCAUCCUUUUAUUUACCAAUCUGAUGGAGAGUGUGACCAAAGAGAACAUUUGUCAACAAAGAAAAAUCUUUUGGAGUAUUACCAUGAAAGGAACUGAUACUUGCUAAGUUCUAGACAAAACUAUAAAUUUUACUUGAAUCAAACAAAAAACUAACUAAUUAGAUCAAAGUGUUUGCAGAAACUUAAUCAUCCGGUUUCUUUUGAAGACUCAAAACCCAUGUUCAUGUGACUCUACUGCAUCAUUGCAUGUCGCCUUGUCAUCAUAGCAGUCAAAGAUGAUAUCAAAGACCGACUACUCUUACCGUUAACAUAACGACUCUUUUUUCUUUCUUUUGGUUGAUGGAAUGUUGUUAUCUUUAUUUCAAGGAAUACUAACUUUUUUCAUUGAAAAUAACAACAGGGGUGACCUACCUACAAAAUAAAGGCACCAAUCAUGAGGCAAAUACAUUCAACUAAACCUAAAAAAACAGACGGUGAAUCAUGUGAACAUAGAAUUUUUGCAUUUAAAUUGGAUUAAUGGCGUAAAAAUGCGAUAGGUUGAGAUGCGCGUAGCCAGUUAGGAGGGUUUGGGUGGGACAGUGUGGAACGUUGAUUAGGGAGGAUAUUGACUAUGUUGCAGAAUCACACAUUCUAUUAUCACAACACGUUACAUGUAAAUAAAUGCAAACUAUUUCGAUACUAAUCAACGGUUGACCAUUCUUCUCACGGCUUCAACUUUUCAUUUCAAUCAGAACGAAGUCAUCAACUUUCCUUAUCACCAAAUAAAUUCCCAACUAUUUUUCUCAAUUCCGACCAAAACUGGCAUUCAUCACGAAAACUACUUCGUUAACAUCAAUGUUCUUUGCCGUUUGUGUGAUUAGAAAAAUAAACACGCCUAUGAAACUAAAAAAUAGCACUGGUAAAUGUCUGGGGCUGGUGAAAGAAGAAAUUGAAUUUCCGUCAGGGACCUCUUUGUAAAGUCGUUACCUCAAUUUUCUACGGACUCCAAACGAAACGCUCAACUUUUUUUCAUAUAUCGAUUUCAUUCUUCCAUUUAUUGAUUUUUACACGCAAACGUGACCGCAACUUCCAAAACAAUGUCCAGGUUUACACAACCUUCUUUGGAAAUGCGUUUUGCUAAAACACGAGAGAUGGAAUUCAAAAAGUUUCAGACAAAUAAAAGUUAGAUGUUGUCGGGUCUAAAAAUUGAACAACGCAUGCAGCUACCGAACCUAACAGCUAAACGAUCUCGAUUCAGAUUUCAGUAUUUCACCAAAAACAUAAAUCGAAUUCAAGUGACAAUCAUAAUUAGAAUUAGAUUUUAGUUAAAUUUGGGCUGUAGUGAUUCGAUUUGGAGUAUAUAAUGCGAUUAUUGUGAAACAAGCUCGUAUAAUCGUAAUUGUAAGCAGAGGAAGUUUAAUAAACCGAUUAUGUAAAGAACGAGAAAGAUAUAAACUGAGAAACAUCAGAUCCAUAAAUAAAUAGAAUAAGAGUCACAUCAAAAACCAUAGUAGAAACACACAAAACCACAAUACUCUAGAUAUAAAUAUAGUACCCUCAUACAGAUAUGAAGGUAUUAGAUAAUAGAAAAAUAGAAAGAGAUCUAUAUAGCUCCUGAAUACACACGAACAUCAUGAAUAAUAAUAAUGCUAUACCCGAUCAACUUUUUUUUUCAAAAAUACGAAUCUCCAUCGCAAAGACUUAGAUCCUAAGAGCAGACCCGAAAACAAGAGCUGCGACGGCUGCAACUCCAGCUGAAACGAUCGACGGCGAGAAAGCAGCAGAUCCGGACGUAGGGCUUGGGGCUGGAGCCUCGACUUGAGCGGAAGCGACGGUAGCUACGACGGAGACGAUCACCGCGACGAGAGCAACGACGGAAGACUUUGAGAACGCCAUUUGUGGUUAGACAGAGAAGGGAGAGCUUUUUUUGUUGAUUCGAAAAUGCUAAAAGCUUAGAAAGGUUUUUUCACAGUGUUGAGAAUCAAUGCGAUGAUGAAGUGUUUAUAAAGAGGCUGAGCUGCCCGGUUUAGCUGACCGGCUUUUGCAACAUUAGAAUCCAGCUGGACCACCUGCGGGUCCCGCGAAUCGUGUUCAUCGACGGCUGGUUUCCCAACGCGUGUUCACUGAGAUCUCGACAGGCUAUCUCUCCGUUACGGCGCCGUUUGGAAGAUAUUUAUUCUGCAAAACCGAUAUACUCACCGAAGCGCGUGCAUCUAACUCUCAACCCUAGGAAGGCACAACGGUCGGUGAGAUGGUUAGUUUGGCGCGUGAAGAAUAUGAUGAGCUGUCUAUUUUCUUACAGCUCACGCGGGUUCCGGGAAGGAAACGGACAAGAUGCGCAGUCUUGGUCCACAUGGUGGUGGUGGUGUAACGGCUAAUGCUUAUGAGCUUUUAAAAUACGUAGACAUGUGUAGAACUACUGAUUUUAAUUUUACUCCAAACAAUGUCGAUUUUCAUUACUCUUAAUGUUAUUCUCGUCUUUAUUUUCUCCGUUUUUUUGUUUGGUAAACUUUUCGUUUGGUAAACAAGCAAAUAAUGUUGGUUUCCAAGACUUGGAAGUUAUCACUGAUGGGUAUAUUUUACUUUCCUUUUGGAUUCGUGAAAAUCAAAAUGAUAAUCACUGAUUAAUUUGAAAUGAGUUGGAGAAUAAUGAAUAAUUCUAAAUACCAUUUUUGACCAAAUUAAACACAACAUUUAAUGCUAUUUAUGUAUAAUAGAUUUUCAACUUUGAAUAAAUGAGAAAAUUAAGGGAUGUAAUGUAACACGUAUCCUCGAUACGUAUUGUUAAGCAUCACCUUGAACAAGAAAAAACUACUUUUAUUAUAUUGUUUUGAUAAUCUGGUGGAUUUUGUGGAAUUUUCUCCAUUCUAGUAAACAUAGGUUAUAAUCUGGCGGAUUCUGUGGAGUAUGUGGUAAACAGUAACUAGUAAAUAAUAAAAGAUGUCAUUAUUAUAUUCUUUUAUGUACACUAAAAUAAACAUUAGCCUUAUGACAGCCUUUUAAACCACUUUAACGAAUUGCCCAUAAAGAGUUAACUUUAUUGAAUUGUUUAUACUAUAAAAAGACAGAUGGUAGCCGGUUGGCAGGCUCUUGAGGGAUUCGAGAAGUUUCCAAUAGGCGUAAAAGUGUGACUACACCUGGCUGUCUUUUGUUCCCAUUCAAAGCAAAAAGACUUGGUCGGUAAGCAAUUUACUAGUAACUUCUAAGAAUCAAAAGAAAACGAGUUAGAGACGACGACUCACGAGAUAAUUCAGACGUUGGAAUUACCUACCAAUCUACCAACCGGUUAAUUUGUUUGGUUCAAAACAUAUACUAUUCUCAGAAUCUCGAAAUGAUUCAGCAGAAUUGUGCAUGACCGCAUAUCUGGUUGAAGGCAUCAGGCAUGUGAACCUUAGGAACCCACAUUGUUCUAUACAUAGCUUUUCUUGAGGUAUAAAGAUAAGGCUACAAGCAUAUGUGUGGAUCCUGGUGUGCAAUGUUAUCUCUUCUAAUAUCUCAUUUUCUUCCAAACUAGUAUAUAAAAAACAAACAAAAUAAAAUAAUAUCACAGUAAUUUCUUGGACAGAAUCCAUAUCAUAUCCAUUUCAUUAUCUCUAUUUGGUUUCAAGAGGUUCAGAGACACUCCUCUCUAUCUCAAUAUCCCAGAAUCUUGGGUGCUAUGUGAAGCAAAGACUCCAGCGCACUUGGAGCAAACUUCCUCGCAAAGAGAUAACACAUUGAAGUGUUACGACCAUUGUAAACGCAGUUUUUUCCAUCAAGUAUCUUUUCAAAGAACUUCUCCGUUAUGUCAGACCGCCCAAACGUAGCCGGGUGGGGGCCUCCUCUAGACCAGUCCACCCACGUCAAGCUCCGGUUAGCCAGCGCCAUUGGUUUCUCAAUCGUCAACAUCGUAGGGAAAUAAUGCUCGUCGACAUAGCAAGCAGGCCUACAGAACUCUUUGAACUUGGGGUAAUACAAUGUGUCUUUGACAAUGGUAGCUGCGAGCUCUCGGUUAAUCUCAAACCAUUGAGACCCUUUCCGCCAUUUGGUGAUGGGUACUUCAGGUUCCAUGUUGUCGUUGUAGCGGCCGCGCCCGAACGGUCCAGGGUCAUCAAAAGCGCCCAUGAAGCUGUGUUUCGAUCGGCUCAAGUAGCUGUAGAUUGUCGUGAAGUUGAAGAGCGGUAUGCACGACUCCGAGACGAGAACAAACCAUUCGUUGGAGAUAUCGAGAAGCGCGUUGGCGAGUAGCCGCUUCUCCGCAUCGCACAUGGUCAUUCUCCCCCAUUCCGCAACCUGCACAAUGAUGUAGACAUCCAAAUUAAAAUCAGAUCAUAUACAGAACCAACUAGCUGCUUAAAGUAACCAGACAGAACUGCUUGAACACAAGGCUACGUCUGAUUCAAAAGUCACACUUUCUGAUACUCUAUGUCAUUAGUAACCCCAACAAAUAUUUAAUAAGGAUGACUACAUUGAAUCUCAUUGUAUCCACCAAACACAAAGAGAGGGUCACAAGAACCAGACCUGACUCGGUAUCUGCCUCUGGUAAAAAACAGAACCAGCAGGAAACUUGGCGGUAAAAGAGGGAUGCGGAUGAACAUAAACCGAGUAAAGCCCUGUAUGACCCUUCAAAAACCUCUCCCAGAGCAAAGCAAGGGGCAAGGGACCUUUAGUCAAGAACAUAAACGCAAUCUUCGGAACCCUCUGAAACGGAUACUCUUUCCUCCGAGGCCAGAAAGAAGCGCGCCAAAGAAGCUCUUCAUCUGUCAUGUUAUGCAUCAAAACAGCAGGAGGCUGUAUCCAUUUACUCAAACUGCUUGGCUCGUCCUCACGGCACGUGACAAAGCCAGAAGUGACGGUUGUUACUACGCUUUGUAGGCCUGUAUACUUGAUAGUAGAUACACUAAUGACGAAGACGGUGAGAGCAAACGCGAGGAAAAGGCCUAGUAUAAGAAGCAGUUUCGCUGGAAACGGUUUAGACUUCACUGAUCUAAUUAAGAUUCCGUUAUCUUUUCCUUCUUCCAUCUGUAUAACCCUAGUCUGCAUCCUUAUUAUAGAGACUCUAGUAUCAAAUCUAAGUAACCGAUUUGCUGAUUUUUUGAAUCACUAUCAAGUAGCCUAACAGUUGAUUAGCUUGUGAGAUCCUAAUUUACUUGGAGAGUUCGGGAUCUCAUCUCUAAUCAAGAAAGUCUAUGAAGCAGCUUGGUUACUUCAUUCGCGAAAACAGAUUCUAGUUGAUUCGAUAGGUGUUUCUUCACCGGAAGAGCAGAUCGGAGCUGGGAGAAGUGAAUCAACUUUUGUAACCGUCGGGAAGUUGAUCUGAGAGCGUAAGUGGAUCCGGAGCUAGUAGCUACUUCUACUUGAGGAAACUAAGUGAAAGCGGAGGAUGAUCCACGUGUCCAGCUUUACGAGAAUCGAAUAGUGUGGAGAUUGCAGGAAAAAUACCGAGAACUUACGAAUCGAUCUCGAAGCUUUGGAGAUGGAGAGAGAGAGAGAGAGGGUGAUGAUGAUGAAUCGAGAACACUAACUUUGAAAAGUAAAGUGAACGGUUUCUUUUUCUGGCUGACCGCUUUGUCUGUUCUCGCGUAGUCUUUGGGAAACAUCGGAAUCAAUUUAUGCGUCAAUUUUUUUUUUAUUUACUUCCUUUAUUUUUUUUAAGGAUUUUAUCAGAUUUUAUAAAUUUUUAUAAUUGCGUGGUUUUAAUGUUUUUUUAUUAUCGAACUGUAAUUGAAUCCCAAUAAUGAAUGAAAAAGAUUUGUGGCGGUAAGAUUCAUAUCAAACGGAGAGAAAAAUGUAUGGACAAAUAUGCCAAUGAAUUCUCCGUAAGGCCCGGAUGAGAUACAUAUACUUUGUUCUAUCACCGAAACAAAACUUAACGAUCAGUAAUGAUACUCUCUUUUCUCAAAAACCAUUAAGAUAAUUCUCUCUCUCAUUUUAGACCCAAAAGAACAAUGGCAUUAAGGUGUAAGAACAACAAACCUAAUAUAAUAAAACAGAGGUAUUUUUCCAGUAUGAAUGUAGAAUCAAGCAUGAUAUGCUUUUUUCAGCUGAUGCAAUUCACUGCUUAAAGCCUCCGGAUUGGUGGUACCUUUGGUUACUGAGGCUGGAGAAGAAACCAUCUGAGAUUUCAGGUGUUUGUUGUUGUUGCUGCUGUUGUGCACUGUAGAGUCCCGUUUUACCUAGCCCGGAUCCUGCACCCAUAGACCACCCUGAGUAGUACGCAGCAGCAGAUGCCUUGUUCCCUUCGUCAUUGCUCAGGCCUCUCACAACGCCCACAUCCGCAAGAGAAGCCUUUUUACCUGGUUACAAGGAGAAUAAAUUAGCAGGUACUCUGAAAGCAAAAAGCCCUAUAAUUUACUGACGCAAUGGUAAGUCAAGCUACAUGUUAUUGGAGCUCAUGUGGGCUAAGUAUUUCGACUAUAUAUAUUCAUAAUUCAUUAAUCAGCUGGGAUGUAAUUCAUCAAUUUUUGGGUUUGAUCUGCAACAGACUCGAUUCAAGAGAAAAUAAACUACAUUCUUUUUUAGUUAUCUAUCACAUACUAGUGCACAACACAAGUACACAAGAAAAAGUUAAGAGAAAGUUUUGACUUACUAGCAGUUAUUGAGAUCAAUCAGUCCACGGCUCAGCGAAUCUGCCCAGAUUCCAGAUUUCACUUGAAAAGGAUCCUUCUUUUGCAACCGUUGUGGCUUUGAGUCUGCCAAAGACAUUGGGCUUGUGGUUCUUGUUGCACUCCCAUGUAGAACUGGAGCCUGUGGACCUGUAGAGACUGAAGCCGAGUGAGAAGUGAAGGCGCCAAAAGGAUCAGUUCCAUCAAAAUUUUCCAUAGGAACUGCAGCAAAUGGGUCAACAAUGCUUGGAGUGGUCAUCGGCUCAGGUUUAGGAAUCUUGGCUUCUGGGCGUGCAACUGUUUCAGGAGAUGCAAAAAGAUCAACCGUCGGAGGAGCUGAAGAAACCGUGCCAAUAGUUUCAGAUACAGAGAAAAGAUCAACUUCUUUUUGCAGAAACAAACAUGCCGAAGGAUAAGUCAUUGUGAAUUGUAAUGAGUUCAACAGAAAAACUGAACGUAUUUGUCCAGCAGCGCGAAAUUGCAUCAUAUGAAUGGACAUUUAGUAGGGGGAUUUUUUAUGUUAAAAGUUGUAUACUAGCUUGGAAGAAAGAAGUCACCCACCUGUGUCUACGACCCAAAGUCUGUUCCUGGACUGGAGGCUGAUACAAAAGUUGCAUCAGCAAACAAAUCAGACUCUUGAAACUUCCCAUUGUUGUUGGUGGAAGAUGUUUCAGUUGGCCCAGAAUCCAAGAAGUCACCAAUCAGAUCUGCUCCAAAAAUGUCCACUUGGUUGGCACUGCCUGUGGAAGGCUCUGCAGAAAAUAAACACCAUACAUAUAAGACAUGGACAUACAAAAAAUGUAUACAUGUUGUGCGCUAUAAUUCACAAAACCAAAUUUUACUCAUUUAAAAAAAAAAACAUUCAACAAGUUCAGCCAUCGUUGAAAGUAACAUACUAUUACUCGAAGAUCCACGUGGAUCAAAGUCAUCAAAAUCAUCAUCGUUGUUUGAAGGAGCUGCAGAUGCAUGUGAAGGUAUGGAACUAUGUUUCCCAGAGUCGGGUGACUUUUUUCCACUGGAUAGAUUAUCAUGGUCCGUACUGCACAUCAAUGAUUGAACCGACUGAGCAAGAAUGCAAUUUAAUUUGCUCACACAAGAUAAUGAGUCAAAAACAAAACAAAGAAAAAGCAUACGAGCAUCCUCAACUGCUCUCAAGUUGAAGAUACACCCAAAAUCAAGAACAUCAGCAUAUCAAUGGGGUUGGGAAAAACCUGCCAUACCGUGAAAAGCUUUUCUUCGAAGUGUAGCUUUGCUCUUCACUUUUAACACCGCGCCUUGACUUUUGAAAAGACUCGUAGUCGUCCUUGUCUUUUCCUCUGGAGUCCCUAUCAUAAUUGCUUGAACCACUUUGAAAACUACCACCAAACGAAGCUGAACCAGACUUAUAUGAUAUUCCUGUUGAUGAGAGGCCAACGUACCUAAUUGGAGGCAAAAGAAAAACCGAUUAAAUUCGACAACGCACCAAAGAAAAUCAGGAAAACCAGUUAUAUUCACUUGUAUAGAAACUAACUUGUUACGAUUGAUUGUUGCUUUGUCUCUGAUCUCUGAGAUUUUCUCCUUAUUAUUCAAGAGGGCAACUAUGUUCUCCGCCUUCUUUCUUACAUUGAUUCCCACAUCUUUUCCAUUCGGUUUAACAUACUCAAAACUCGUGAGUGACUACAUCGAUGACAAAUCACAAACAAAGCUCAUGUCAGUACAAAAACCAAAACGUCCACCACAAAAGAACAACCUAUCAACAUGUAAAGAGAGAUAUACUGACAGAUAUUUGGUACAUAUGUUCAAUAAUCUCAUCAACUGCUCGUUCUGACCCAUUUGAAAUCAGAUAAUCAAUAACAGCCAGCGCCUGGAAGAAGAAAAAAAAAACACCAAAUCAUAAACUGUAACUUCCAAACAUUACAGGGAAAUAUCAAGAAGAUUCUCACCUUAUACACGUAUCGCCAAUCCUUUCCCCUCUCAGUCAGUCUAGUCUACAAAACACCCAUAACCAUCUGGCAUUCCGAGCUAAUUACAUAUUGUAAAUGUACAAGGAAAGCAACAUAUUAUCAAAAUCAUUUCCAAGUUUAAUGAAAUCUAAAAAAAAAAGAAGAGAAUUUACAAUUUCUUAGUGGCUUGUGCAAUCUCUGCCAAAGCAGUACCAUGUGGACCCCAAGGCUCGUUAUCAGUAGCAUCCAAUACAUGUACUUAAACAUAACCAUAUGUUUAUAAACAUCAUCACAGAACAUGAGAUGAACAAACUGAAUAAAAAGCCACGAUUACACGGAUACUAACACAUUGGCGUUCACUCUGUAAACUUUAUUAAUAGAAACGUCAACUAAGAUGGAUCUAAUAUAUCAACUAAGAACACAUUAUUCAGCAUACGAACACAUUCAGCACUCAAAUCAAUUUGCAUAUCAAUUAGCCAAGCAAUAUGGAGAGACUGUUUGAACAUAUAGAAAGGAUUCAAAUGAAUUCACCUUUUGCUCCAUCUCUGGAACCUGCAGAACUUUGAGAUUCACCUCCCUCUUUCUGUAAGUUAAAAAAAAAAAUCAAUCAGAAAAAAUCAACAUAUGAUCUAGCCGGAUUCGAAUCCAAACACAAUCUAAUUUCAAUCGAAAUCGAAUGAGGAAUAGAUAUAAAGGAGGGUUAAACCCACAUCUCUCGAACCGUUUGAUCGAAGACCUUCAUGAAAUCCAUUUUUGAAUUCGCGCAAAUGGUAUGAGCAAAGGAACAAAUUUCUGGUUCGAAGAGGAAGUGUAGAUCUGAUAAGGGGUGGCUAGUUUUUUUUUUUCUUUUUUUUUGACAAAUGCAAAGAAAGAUUAAAAAUAAGAAGUAGCACCUAAUAAAAAUCUACUUUUUCGCGCAAUUUUUAGGCGUCAAAUAACGCCUGGGUGAGUACAUAACCGGUUUGAUAUUGGUCACAUAAGGUUAAGCUAAUGACACUCUACGAUAGGGCUAUUGCUAACCAAUGACUAUACCAAAUACAAGAGUUAGUGAGGAACUCAGCGUGAUGAAGUCAUAUGCAAGUCAAAUUGCAUUUGUUUAAAUUCUGAUACGAAUAAAAUAAACCACAUAAUAUCAUGUUAUUGUUACGUCACGCAUGCCAUUAUUUCUAACUAUUUUUUGUUGACCACAAUCUUGUGCUUUGAACAAAAAAUCCACAAGCCAUGGCCCAUGACUCCCAAUAAUAUAAAUCCUCAAGACAAUGGUUAAGUUUAUAUAAUUGAAUCCUACAUAUAUUCUGAAGCUGUAGAUUGUUUAAGCAUACACACCAAUAUACUUAUCAUUUCGGCUGAAUCAUGUAUUUAAAGAUAUAUAUAUAUAUAUAUAUCAUUUUUCAUUUCAACUAGUGGAUAUAAUAUGAUGGAGAACGUAAAAAUUUGGAUUGGUUUGAUAAAUAAAAAAGUUGAUGAUGAUAAUGCUGCUAGUUUUCUAUUGGGCCAGGCAGAUUUGUUAAUGUUUGUUUUUACUUAGUCCAGGUCACACGCCUUUCCUUUCUGUUUCUGAAAAUUGAACACUCACACUCAGAGUGGGCACGUGUUCGGAAACAGGGCCCAUCAAGCCCAAUCUAAACACCGUUUAAUGUCCGAACGUAUAUGCUCCUGACGUUUAAUUAUUUUUUUUAAAAGACCAGUCAUUAUUAACCCCUGGAACAGCAAAGCUAGUAAUUAAAACGUAAAAUGACAUGUGUCACAUACUGAUUCGACAAAAAUUAAAUUAAGAUUCAGCUGACACUUCCACUUGCAUGUAAACCACGAUACAGACUAAUCUGUGAAUGACGUGUCGCAAUACGAUUCGUUAUAACCAAAAGAAAGAUUUUAGCUGAUAAUCUUCGCGGUUACGGUGAAGCCGCACGCACCGGAUCGUAACUACUCUCCGUUCCAACCUGUUUCCUUCUCCUUGGAAGCUCUCUCUCUCUCACUUCCGAGAAAGGAAAAAGCAACACUUCUCUCUCUCUCUAAGAAUCAAUUUUCGCUGCGGGGUUUAUCAAAUCUUCUUCUGCAAGACGAUCAUACAUCUACAUGCACACACCUAUAUGUGUAUGCUGAUGUAUGCAUAAAGUCGUGCGUGUGCGUGGGCGCGUGUUGAAUAGUUUAAUCGAGUCUCUGCGUUUUCAAUUUCGUCAACUCCAACUAAGCUCAAUGAUCCCAAUUAGGGUUGGACUUCGUCCGUGAUGACUCUUGAUACUAUAGGAUGGCUCGAUUUCAAUUCAUCGUCUUCUUCUUCUUCGUAUCGGUUGCGGUUUUCGCCGUAAACCCUAGCUCAAGCUAUCGAUUCGCCAUCGUGGAGCCUGAUUCGGGUUUGGAUCCGGAUUCGGAGUCGGAGUCGGAGUCGGAGUCACUGCUUUUCCACCAGGAUUACUCGCCGCCAGCUCCGCCACCGCCGCCUCCGCACGGACCCUCGGUGUCUUGCACCGACGAUCUAGGCGGCGUCGGGUUUUUGGAUACUACUUGUAAGAUCGUAGCUGAUUUGAAUCUUACUAAAGAUGUGUAUAUAGCUGGGAAGGGCAAUUUCAUCAUCCUCCCUGGUGUUAAGUUCCACUGUGCGAUCCCUGGGUGCUCUAUAGCUAUCAAUGUCUCUGGGAACUUCUCUCUAGGCGCGGCGUCUACGAUUGUCGCCGGGACGUUUGAGCUUUCCGCUGGUAACGCUAGCUUUGCUGGUGGAUCGGCUGUGAACACGACGGGUUUAGCUGGGAGUCCUCCGUCGCAGACUAGCGGGACGCCGCAGGGGAUUGAUGGUGCUGGUGGUGGGCAUGGUGGGAGAGGGGCUUGCUGUUUGACUGAUACUAGGAAGCUUCCGGAGGAUGUGUGGGGAGGUGAUGCGUACUCGUGGUCGACGCUGAGUAAGCCGUGGAGCUAUGGUAGUAAAGGAGGGUCGACGAGCAGGGAGAUUGAUUAUGGAGGAGGAGGGGGAGGGAGAGUGAAGAUGAAUAUUACGCAGUUUUUGGAUGUUAAUGGGAGCCUUUUGGCAGAGGGAGGUUAUGGAGGAGCUAAAGGCGGUGGUGGGUCUGGUGGCAGCAUCUUCAUCAUAGCAUAUAAGAUGUAAUGAACUUUCUUUCACUAUCUGUUGCUUUGAUUUCAACGGAUCUUUAAGUCUUUCUAGGUAAAAUUGAUCUCAGCUAUCAUCUUAUGCUUUGCUUUUAUCAUAAAUGCAGGACUGGAAUUGGAAAGAUUAGUGCAUGUGGUGGGAGUGGCUACGGUGGUGGGGGUGGUGGAAGAGUAUCUGUCGAUAUUUUUAGCAGGCAUGAUGACCCAAAAAUCUUUGUGCAUGGUUAGUUUCUCUUACGCUACUGUUCGUUAAUUUGCAACUCUUGCGAAAUUGAUUGGGUUUUAAAGUAUGAACCUUUAAAUUCAAUGAUAUAAUUUCAUUCUCUCAGAUGAUUAAUCAUCACAGAAAAAUUCUUCAUCCUGAUCUUUACUUGGUUACUUUGCUAACAUCUGUGUAUAUUGUAUAUUCUUAUAGUUUUUGUUUAUGUUUUGAGCGAGUUAUUUUUAUAUGUACUUUCUUAACAUCUUCAAUCAUGUGCACUAAUUUCAUUCUCCUACAUGCAGGCGGAUACAGUAUCGGGUGUCCAGAUAACUCAGGUGCUGCUGGAACCCUAUACGAUGCUGUUCCCCGAAGCCUUUUCGUUAGCAACUACAAUCUGACGACAGACACUUAUACGCUUCUCCUAGAAUUCCCCUUCCAGCCUCGUUGGACCAAUAUUUAUAUUCAGGACAAAGCGCGAGCAACUUGUCCUCUGCUAUGGAGUCGUGUCCAGGUAUUUAGAAAAUGAAUUUCAAGCACAUGGUGUAGGCCAACUGUUUGAUCAACUUUUGCAGUUUUGAUGCUAGGACUAUUUGUUAUCUCAUAUAAAAAUGAUGUUUUAUUUCUGCAACUCAAGUGUCUCUUCUCUACAUUUUUUUUGUUGCUUCUGUAUAUGCAUAUUUAGGUUUUCAGUGAAUUUUCCACCUCUCAGCAUAUUAUUUUGCUUUGGCUUAUGCCGUUACCGCUAACCCAAUUCUUAAAGAUGUAGUACUCAAGCAGAAUUCAUUAUGUAGGUUCAAGGACAAAUUAGUUUGUUGUGUGGUGGUGUUUUGAGCUUCGGAUUGUCUCAUUAUGGUACAUCAGUAUUUGAGUUACUGGCCGAAGAACUCUUAAUGAGUGAUUCCAUUAUCAAGGUCAGUCUUAUCUUGUUCUCCACCUUUUCCGAAAUUCGGAUGCAACAGCAUUGUGUCUGUCUGAGCUAGAUAUGUAUAAUUCUGUUUUGGUAAUAUGUGUUUCAUUCUUGGUUUACUUGGCCAUUCUGCAUAUCCUAGAUUUUAUUUUGGUACUCAUGUAAAUUCGUUCGUCAUGCUUUGUGUUUAUUGGUACGACCAGGUUUAUGGGGCAUUAAGUAUGUCUGUCAAGAUGUUCUUAAUGUGGAAUUCAGAAUUGCAUAUAGAUGGAGGAGGGGGAGAUACAGCUGUUUCGACCUCCACACUUGAGGCUAGCAAUUUAUUCGUUCUUAGGGUACUCACAAAUUCAUGUCAUUGUUUUCCUCCUCCUAGUAAUUUUAUGACAUGCGGUUGAAUCUAAUUUGUUUGUAUGACCUCUCAUUCUAAAUAUAGGAAUCAUCUGUGAUUCGCUCAAAUGCAAAUCUUUUUGUCCAUGGACAAGGUCUCUUGAAUCUAACUGGACCAGGGGAUUCAAUUGAAGCACAGCGGCUUGUUUUGUCACUGUUUUACCGGAUUUAUGUAAGAGGUUUCCGUCUGUUUGUUUCAGUGACAUUCCUACAUUCUAUAACUAUUUUGUGCAGAUGCAAAGAUAGUUGGUGUUUAUAGCUACGAAAAUGUGAUAAAACUAGCAUAAUUUGACAAUCGGUCUCCUUUAACGGCCAUAUUGGCUUUUUAAAUAAUAGAUAUAGAAAGGUACUUGAUAUGUCCGUCCAGAAGAUAACAACUUCUUUACUUUUUCCCCUGGAAAUUGAAGGUUGGGCCUGGAUCUAUUUUGCGUGGUCCUCUGCAGAAUGCAUCCCGAGAUGCUGUGUAAGUGUGAAGGAAAAUGCCACAUUUUUUUUUAAUCCAUAUUCUUCUGAGAUAAAGUCAGCUAACAAUAAUCGAGUUCACAUCCUUUGCAGUACACCAAAGCUCUAUUGUGAUAGGCAAGAUUGUCCCUAUGAACUACUGAAUCCUCCAGAGGAUUGCAAUGUCAAUUCGUCUCUGUCCUUUACUCUACAGGUACUUCUGCCGUACUUAAAACAGCAUGCUCUCGCAUGAAAAUUCUGAUAUCUUUUCUUUCUUUCAGCAUGGAAAUUCUGAUAACUUUUCUUUCUUUCUAGAUAUGCCGAGUUGAGGAUAUUAUCGUCGAAGGUUUCAUCAGAGGAUCAGUAGUUCAUUUCCACCGUGCAAAAACAGUAACCCUUGAAUCCUCUGGAGAGAUUAGUGCCAGUGGAAUGGGUAAACAAUAAACUAUUUUCUCUUUUGGAUUUGGUUUGAUCGCGCAUUCUACUUCUACAUUUCAUAUGGGCAUGUCCUUGGCUUUCUCCCCCAUCAUAAGUUUAAGGCGCUACUACGCAUUUUGCAUAGGGAGAAAGAAGAGAUGUUCUUAUGUUUUUGUAUUGUAUUCCUUAGCAUCAUAAAUAUGCAAUUGUUUUGUGUGUGUCACAGGUUGUAGAGGUGGUGUAGGUGAAGGUAAAUUGCUUGGAAAUGGCAUUGGUAGUGGUGGUGGGCAUGGCGGUAAAGGGGGCCGUGUAUGCUACAAUAGCAGUUGUGUUGAAGGUGGAAUUACGUAUGGAGAUGCAGAUCUCCCUUGUGAGCUUGGCAGUGGAAGCGGUGAUUAUAGCCCGGAUUAUUCAUCUGCUGGUGGUGGUAUUGUAGGUAUGGAAUGUCAGAGUUUUUGACGAUUCUGGAGUUCUAUUUAACACGAGAUUAGGUUGUGUCUUCAUAGGACUUGAUGUAGAGUGUAUGAUGUAGACUACUGACUAUUCGUACGUGUGCCAAAUAUUUGACUAAUUAUAUUUCUUUUAUUAUGAUAAGUUUAUAAUUUAUAGCCUGUUAACAUUAUAGGACCUUGUCAUCGUUUAGCCAAUACACUACUGUGCAUGCUGUGAUUGCCAUGAAAGCUUAUUUCUUUCAAGAUAAUACUGUUUAACCUGUUCUUUUCUUUCGUUUGAAUCUGGUCAGUGAUUGGUUCACGGGAGCAGCCUCUAUCUGCAUUAUCACUUGAAGGCUCAAUCAGGGCUGAUGGAGAAAGUGUCAAACGUUUGAGCAGAGAUGAAAAUGGUUCUGUUGUAGCACCUGGUGGUGGUUCUGGUGGAACAGUUCUUUUGUUUCUGCGUUAUCUUAUUCUGGGAGAGUCUUCUCUUCUCUCAACUGGCGGUGGGUCAGGCAGUCCUGUUGGUGGUGGUGGUGGCGGAGGUGGGAGGAUUCAUUUUCAUUGGUCUAACAUUCCCACUGGCGACAUAUACCAGCCUAUUGCUAGUGUGAAAGGGAUAAUCCAUGCACGGUCUGGCCUUUAGAUACCUGUGCAUUUCCCAUUUCUUUGCUAUUGUUUGAUAUUAUUUUCCAGCAUGUCCCAUUAACAUUGUUUCUUUUUGUAAUUGUAGGGGGGGAGCGGCAUUAGAUGAUGAAUUUUCUGGCAAAAAUGGCACAGUAACUGGAAGGCCUUGUCCAAAAGGACUCCACGGUAUAUUUUGCAAGGUUAGGAAAACUUAGUUCAACAUUUUCCUGCUGCUAUAUAAUAUCAUGGGUGAAAAUUUUCUAUUUGCCUUUUGUUCCCUUAUCACGAUUGAGUUGUUACUGUAGUUUAUCUAAGCUCACUAUAUUCCCAAUUCCUACUUUUCUUCAGGAGUGCCCAUCUGGUACAUUCAAGAAUGUUACUGGAUCUGACACGUCUCUUUGCCGUCCUUGUCCCAUUGAUGAGCUUCCAACUCGUGCUGUCUAUGUUCCAGUUCGAGGUACAAAUAGCAUUCGCCUAUAUCUUGAGCUCUUGUGUAUUACAUAUGUGCUAUAAAUUUCCUCGUUGACAAGUUUUGUUUCCGGUUCAUUUACCAACCCGAAAUCUGUAUUUUCCCUCGAUAAUGAAUAUAGUUGUGGUUCAUAAAGAACUGUUUGUUUAAGUUGGCUAUGAUCUUGUUUUCUUAUUCAUUUACCUGUAAACUGGCUAUGUCCACGUAUCAACUAUAAACCUCGGAAUCUUCUAUGCUUAAUAACAGGUGGUGUUUCUGAGACACCAUGUCCAUAUCGAUGCAUAUCGGAAAGGUAUCAUAUGCCACACUGUUACACCGCUCUGGAGGAGUUAAUUUACACAUUUGGUGGGCCUUGGUUGUUUGGUCUUCUUCUGAUGGGUCUCCUCAUCCUCUUAGCACUUGUACUUAGUGUUGCAAGAAUGAAAUUUGUUGGAGUUGAUGAUUUACCUGGCCCAGCUCCCACACAUCAUGGCUCUCAAAUUGAUCAUUCCUUCCCUUUCCUUGAAUCACUAAAUGAGGUUAGAUGAUUUUCUUUGUCUUGUAACAUUAGAUCCAAAAACUGUUUAUUUGUCUUUACUUUCUGCGAAGCAAAUGAAGAAUGAUGUAUUUAUUUUCUGAUUUGUCACUCCAAAUGCAACUAGUGUAUGGCUAGCAUACAUGAUUGAGUGAAAUAGCCUGCCAAGUUCUCCUUAUAUUACAGACUUUACAGUGUUGUGUUGUAUAUAAUGUUAUUUCUUUUUUAGGUCUUGGAAACAAAUAGAGCAGAGCAAUCGCAGAGUCAUGUGCAUAGAAUGUAUUUUAUGGGUCCUAAUACAUUCAGCGAGCCAUGGCAUCUCUCGCAUAUUCCCCCGGAAGAAAUAAAAGAGAUAGUGUUAGUUGUUUCUUGUUUUAUCUCCAAGCUGAUUGGAAUUGUGUUUAAUUGUUUUUUCUAUAGUUAUCUUAACAAGUUGUCUGGGCUCUGAAAUGUUCGUAUAUGAUUUUGGAAUCUUUAGAUAUGAGGCUGCAUUUAACACGUUUGUGGACGAAAUCAACUCUAUAGCUGCAUAUCAGUGGUGGGAAGGUGCAAUAUAUAGUAUUCUUUCAGUGGUUGCAUAUCCGCUUGCGUGGUCUUGGCAGCAAUGGCGGCGGAAGUUAAAAUUGCAAAAAUUGCGUGAGUUUGUACGUUCAGAAUAUGAUCAUUCCUGUUUACGCUCCUGUCGCUCCCGGGCUUUAUACGAGGGUCUGAAGGUGAUUUCUUGAUGAUUUAAUCUCAUAAUCACUCAAUGGACUACAUAGUGUCAGAGUAUCUGAUUCGUUUUACAAGGAUUUGUUGUUUUAAGCUUUAGUGCAUAUUUUUCUUCUUCUAAAUAUAGGUCGCUGCCACCUCCGAUUUGAUGCUUGCAUAUCUGGAUUUCUUCCUUGGUGGGGAUGAAAAAAGGACAGACCUUCCACCUCGGCUUCACCAAAGGUUUCCAAUGCCCAUAUUGUUUGGUGGUGAUGGCAGUUACAUGGCUCCUUUCUCACUUCAAAAUGACAAUAUUCUUACUAGUCUGAUGAAUCAGGUUGGUUCCUUUCUUCCUUAGUUAACGAGAAGCAGUUUCAGCAGCCAUUUUAGAGGUUGUAUUGAUCUUUGUCAUUGUUUUAUUUUCUCAGCUCGUUGCUCCCACUACUUGGUACAGACUGGUGGCUGGUGUCAAUGCUCAAUUACGCCUUGUUCGCCGUGGGCGUCUGAGAUCAACGUUUCAUUCUGUUCUGAGAUGGUUAGAAACUCAUGCGAAUCCCGCUCUAGAAACACAUGGCAUACGGGUUGAUCUGGCCUGGUUCCAGACUACAGCUUGUGGUUACUGCCAAUAUGGUCUCUUGAUUCAUGCUGCUGAGGAUUGUGAACCAACGUCACCUCAGUUUGUCGGUGAAACAGCAUGGACUGAGAUCCAGCCACGGUACUAAAUGAUAAAUUGCAUCCUUUCGUCCUGUUUAUUCGUAGUGACAAUAGGCAUUAUGAACCGGGUAAUAUAUAAGAUAAAUAACGUGAUCACUUUAGAAACUGAAGGUUUAUUUUUUGUAAUGUCACACUUCAGCAUGUUUUCAUUGUGCACUUCAUUUUUAGCUAUGCGGAGUUAUGAUUUCUUGUUCUUGUAACUUCUAGUUAUGGCGUGAGUGCACACAAAGAGAAUUCCCCAGCACAUUUAAGAGAGAGUAUGCUCUACAACCAAAACCACACAAACACUGAGGAUUAUGCUACACGCAGAAAGAACUAUGCAGGGAUAAUCGACGGUGACAGCUUACCGAGUCUCAAAGAGAAGAGAGACAUGUUUUUUAUUCUCUCUUUCUUAGUUCACAACACUAAACCUGUGGGCCACCAGGUACCUCUCCAAUCCAAAUUCUUAUAAUAUGAAUGUCUUCUUAUAUAUUGUGCUGUCCAACUUUUCAAUAACUCUUCCCUCUGUUAUCUCCUAUGAUAUUGCAGGAUAUGGUUGGCUUAGUUAUUUCGAUGUUACUUUUAGGAGAUUUUAGUCUAGUCUUGCUCACGCUGCUCCAGCUGUAUUCGAUUUCUAUGGUGGAUGUACUGUUGGCUUUGUUUAUAUUACCUCUCGGCUUGCUUUUGCCAUUCCCCGCUGGAAUCAAUGCCUUAUUCAGUCAUGGACCCAGACGCUCUGCUGGCUUAGCACGCGUUUACGCUUUGUGGAACUACAUGUCCUUGGUCAAUGUAGUAAGUACUCUUUGUUUUUUUCUGUUGUUGGAAACUUAUUUUGUUUGAAAAUGCAAUGUGAACUGCAUGUUCAUGUCAUAUUGAUUCUAUGGGAAGAUGUUGCAUGUCUCACGUUACCUGACAAGUUUUGGUUGUGUGACAGGCUGUUGCUUUUCUCUGCGGAUAUGUUCAUUAUCACAGCGAAUCAUCAGCAAGCAAGAAAAUCCCGUUUCAGCCGUGGAAUAUAAACAUGUGAGUUUUACUACAAUGGAAAGUAAUACUUCGUGGCAAUCUUAUGUUUCGGUCUAUUGGGUUUGUGAUGUGUGUUGUGGUUUUUGGGUGGGGAUGCAGGGGUGAAAGUGAAUGGUGGAUAUUUCCAGCGGGACUGGUCGUGUGCAAGAUAAUGCAGUCGCAGCUCAUAAAUAGACAUGUAGCAAACCUGGAGAUACAAGACCGCUCGUUGUACAGUAAGGAUUUUGAGCUGUUUUGGCAGUCGUGACGAAGUCUUGUCAGGUAAAUUUUAUGAGAACAAUUGAAAAGACCACUGUCCCAGUUUGUUUUGUAAUUCUAUUAUGCUAUAGGUGAAUAGAAUUAGGGAUACAAAAGAGAAGGAACUCUGAUUGUCAAGGGAAAAAGAAAGUAAAGAAAACAAGUUUAUUUGAUGGUGAAUUAUUAUUAGAGGGGUUUGGUUUUUGUUUCCAGUGGAUUGUCUAUUGGUAAAAGAUUCUUCUUAAGGUUUUGUAUGUAAAUAAGUGAGAAACCCCAUUAAAUCUAUCUACUGGGGGGCUGUGUUUAUUAUUUCUGCCUCAAUACUCUUCUUCACUUGAGUUAUUGUUCUUUUGGUGCAUAUAGUGACAAAGAAAUGGAUUUUGGGAUCUUAAUUUUUAUUAUUUGGUUCUGACUUUUGAAGAGAAUGAACGUAGGUAGCCAAGUAAACCAUUACUCUCCCGCCUUGACCUAGUCAGAACGCUCGCUGUAUCUAUAUAUAUGGUCGUCAACCAAGUUGGCUCCUCUCUAUGAUUACUUUUCCUAUAAUUUUUUCGUAUCUUAGAAAUUGGCGUCACCAAGAGCUCGAGGUUGCGGAAUGUAACUAACUUAAUUAAAGACGCAAAGAUUCUAACAUUUACACCAAAAAAAAAAAAAAAAAAGACGCAAAAGAUUCGUUGUCAUUCAAGUUAUCACAACCCAACUACAGAAUGAUCUCACCAAGGAAAUCUGUGUCAAGAGUUUCAGGGGUCUUAUUGAAUUUCGUAAUUUUGAUGAAAAUUAAAUUUGAAGAUCCUUUCACGUGAUAAACCGUCACGUGUAUAGAACUGAGCGUGAGUUAGGACAGAGAGCAGAUUUCGUCCAUAGCUCACUACCAAAUGCAUAUGUAACUUGCCUAUCCAUCCCACCCAAAGCUGUUCAAAAUUAUACGAACGUGUCACUGUGUCAUAAGGAAUUAAGACGGCCGUGUCGUCUAGGAGUUAAGGGUUUCAGCGAAUGGAGUUACGGGUUUCUCAGCGAACCUGUCGCUGUGUAUAUAUAUAUAUAGGGAAAUGUUAAAAAAAUCUAGAGGUAAUUUUACUAAAUAUUAGCAAAAUAUAAUAAAUAUUAAGAAAUUAUAGAGAUAAUUCUAUUGUGAAACAAACCAAAUAUACUAUUGUUUGUUUGUACUUAUGUAAAAUGUAUAUAUACAAAAAGUAUUAAUUUAUGAUUUGAACCAUAUAAUUAUAUAGAAUUUUUUAAAAUAUUAUUAUCUUAUAAUUUUAUCGAUUCAUAUCAUAUUUUGAACCAGUCCAACUUGAAACCAAAAUUUUUUAUUAAUUUAUCGAGUAUUAAUUAAUAGAAUUUAUACUGUAUAUAUAAUAUAUAUGCACAUGAUGCAAAAAUCCGGCCCCUAACUAAGAAAUAAAAUCCUUAUAAACUUUAAUACACCACAAUAAUAAUAGAUCAAAUAGAUAUAAUAAAAUUUUAAUACUUAAACAUGAAACAUAAAAUCUCAAUUAUUUAUUGUAAUAUACAAGAGACUGUUUUAUAAGCUUAUAUUCCACAAGAAUCUCCUCCAGGUCCACCAUAUGUGAACAGAUUAUAUUCUUUGGCGAAAAUUGGUUUCUUUCCAUCUUUUAAUCCAUAACAUUUGUUGUUGUCUAAUAGCUUCUCUAGCUUAUAAUUGCGACUAGGCAUGAAAUUAUAUUUAGUGUCUACAAUGAGGAGGUUUUUAACACGUGCGGAUUCAUCUUCCUUUUGAGUUGGCAGAUGACCAUUGCCCAUUGGUGGACUAAUACCAGAAGGGGAAGCUUGGACUACUCCCGUGACUCCAACCAUAUCCACACUACGACCUAUGAUAUCAAAUAGUUCUUUUGGCCAAUAACCAAUCUUUAUAUCCUUUUUAGUGGCUCUUACGAGUAUUGUCCACCAAUGUCCGGUUGCAUAAUCCUUUAAUAGAUCAUAAAAACAUUAUGCACAUUAGGUUUGUAUAAUAUUGCUCAAGAAAAUGUUAAUAGAAAAGUAUAAAUACUACCUGUGAAAUACUAGGAUUAACAGCCCUAUCUCCUUUCCGGGGAUAAGGAAAAGGAACAGAUAAAGGAUCAGUUGUUGACACUUGAAUAAAACCAGGACAUAUUGUAUUGUAACAUCCUGCUCCAUUGGCACCCUAUCAAUAUUCAGUUUAUUAUAUCAGUAUAGUCUAGAUAAAAAUUGAAAAUUUAUAUAUAUCAAAAAGACAAAAUUACAAAUACAGAUUAAAAGAAUAACUAAAUAAGUAUUAAAAUAUGUCUGAUACAAAAUUAUUGUUAUAUUUUAAAAUACAAUAUAAAACAUUUUAUGUAAUUUUACUAUGCAUAUUUAUAUUAUUUUAAAUGGUUUGUUUAGAAAAAUAAGAUUAACAAUUUAUAAAAAUGUGAGAUUUUGUGUCGGACAAUUAACUAUAUUUAUAACAAGAGAAAAAAAAUCAUAUUAUUUUAGUUCUUAUUUUUAACUAUCCUUUUACAUUUUAAUGAAAGAACUUUAAAAACAGAAGAUUGCUAUUUAUAUGUUUCACUUAUACUAUAUAUAAAAUACAAUAAUCAUAUUUUAAUAACACGCCAUGGUUUAGCAUAAUUUUUCUUUUACUAAGAAAUUUAUGAUUAUUUUCUUAUGUUUCAGCUAAUGUACCUUCCAAAACCCGUAACUCCAUGUGCGUCCAUCAUCAAAUAAACUUGGAUUUACCUAUUUGUCAAACUAUAUUUUGUUAAACAAACCUAUAUAAAACUAAAUUAAAAAUGCAACGUUAAUUUACCAUCCAACCGGUUUGGAUAAAAUUAGUUUUUUUGUUGUAUCCACUGCCAACAUAUAUAUUAGCAUAUGAAGCUUGGUCCCUACUAAUGUUCAAAUCAUGCACACUCAUCCAAGCUGCUAAACCAUGGUAAGGACCUUCAUGUUGUGAUCUAACUCCAGCAAUCUUUAAAUUCCGAAAGUAUACAUCAUAUGAUUUUUCAAGAUAUACAUAUUUAUGACUCAAAUCAUUCAAAGACUUACAUGUGUCCCUGGACUAUCUUCUGUGAGUGGGUUGAAGUGUUUCUCAGCCCAGUACUUAGCAUUUGCGAUAUAUUCUUUUGUAUUUCUUAGUAUAGGUACUGUUCCAUUUGGACAGUUGAUGCUUAUUCUAUUUUCAAUUUUAUUCUUUGUUUGCCUUUUUGGUUUCCAGCUUGAAAAAGAUGGUUCCAUCUAUUUCAAAUUAAAUGGUUACAUAUUAAUGUAAAGUGAGAUUAUAUAUAUAUAUAUAUAUUAUCUAUACUAUACCAAACAACAGAUAAAUUUUACUUGAAAAAAUCAUCUUUAGUUUAUUGAUUUAUGUUUUGAAACGCAGAUAGAAAGUUGAAAAUUUAACAAAAGUGUAGUUGAUAAAUAAUUUCAGUUUUAUGUUUAACUACUUUAUAAUUUAUAUUCAAGAGAGUUAGGUUAAAAACAAACUAAGACUAGUAACAAAGAAAAAUUGGAUUGUUAGCAAAAAAAAAAAGUGAUUGUAAUCACACAGUCAUUCAUGAAUUUUCACUCCACUAAAUCAAUAAAGUAAGUAUUGUUUAUUAUUUUUUUUUAAAAAGCAUAUAAUCUUGGGGAAUGAAUACCUGAAUUUUAUGGUUUUUGAGUAGUGGAUGGCUUAAUGAAGGUUGUUUAUAUAUAUCCACACAAUCAUAUAUAAUCUUCUCGUUUAGCUAUAAAAACAUAUUUGGAUUAAUACCAGAAAAUAAUUUUCAUACUAUCAGUUUAAAAGUUGGACGUGUAUAAAUACAUAUUUCUUAUUAUUCUUUUCAUCUACCUUAAAUGAUUUCACAUUUCUGUCACUUUCUAUAGAUUGAACUACAGAAACUAGGAAUAUGAAUGUGACGAGUUUGAAAAAUAAAUUCAUAUUAAUAAUCCUAAUUUUUAAAAAAAUAUUUUCUUCUUGUUGAAUACACCUCCAAAUAAUUAGGUAUUUAUAAUAGUAAAAAUAAAGAGGUGAUUGGUUGUGGCUGUAGAUGCUCUAGAAGUCCAAAAUUUAAUUUAAAGUCAUACAUAUCAACCAAUCAUGCUUUCCUUUCUUUUAAAAAGUUACAACCAAAAUAUCUCUGAAAAAUAAAAUAAAAAGACUGUAGAAAGUUUUAUUUCUAGAGCAAAAAAAUAAUGCUUUAUAAAGUUACAUCAAAAAUAGUUACAGCAAAUAAAUUUAUAUCUACUAUUCUAAAGACAAAAAAUAAAAUCCAUGCACUUACCAAUCACCCCUUUAAUUCUAUGUUCCUUCUUGGUCUUCAAAUAUUUUAUGUUAUUUAAUCGUUUUUAUUAAUAAUCAUUAUAAAUGGAUAAACAUUUCAAUUUUCUAUAUGGUUUCAUUGGUGUUUUUAUUAUACAUUGGUUCACUUGGAUAUUUUAUUAAAAGAUAUAAAUAUCACACACUUAAAUGUUCUAAUUUGAUUUUUCAAUUUUUUUCUAUUUAAUACUAAUUUCAAUAAUUUACCGUGUUUUUAUACACCUAAAAUAAAUAUAUAUCCCUCUUUAUUCGUCCAUUUUACCUUUUUAAUAAAAAAAUAUUAAUACUCUGAGAUCUUAUUUAUAAAAAAAUGAAUAUACAUGUUAAUUUUUAAAAAUGUAUAUGUCGCAUUGUUGACACGCAGCAACAUAAAAGUACUUUCUGUAUGUAAUGCAUUUUACCUUUUUAGUAAAAUAUAUUAACAUAUAGAUCAUAGGAAAUUUAGUAUACAUAUUGUCUGCUUAAAGACACCUUUGGUUUAGUUAUCUAAGUUCAUUUUUAAUACUCACUUCAAAUUUGCUUCUUCGUUUGAUUUUCAUUUUGGUGACUUUUAAUAUUACUCUAUAGAUGAAAAGAAUUAGGGAUACAAAAAAAGAAGGAACUCUGAUUGCCAAGGGUAUAAGAAAGAAAAGAAAACAAGUUUAUUUGAUAGUGGAUUAUAAUUAGAGGGAGAAAUCUUGUGUAAUCUGAAAAUAACGAAUAUCUAUAUGAAUAGAUUUUUAUCAAAAGUGCAUUGGGUUAUUGGUUUAUUACUUAGAAUUGGUUUUAUUGACCCAAACUCUUCCCAAAUUACAAUGAGCCUAAUUGUGAAAGAAAAACUUGAUAAAAUUUGUAUCGACGAUUUAACUGUAAUAAAAUGCCGCAAAUUAAAUGUUGAAAAAGUCUUGUUAUUACAUAAACUCCAAAUAAAGAAAUUUUGACUCGGAAAACGCUGAUCACAUGCAUUAUAUGUAGCUUUUUUUAUAUCAAACAUUGUAUGUAGCUAAAAGUCUAAGACCGACAUAUCACUUCUAUCAAAUCUUUUUUAUUAAAAGAGAAGUAUCAUUUUUAUCUACCAUAAAAAAUCAUACUAAUUUUUAUUAGGUCCAUUUCAAUAAAUACAUUUAUUUAAUAAUAAUCUAUUCAAUAUAUAAGGAUAUUAAUAAUAAAUAAAUUUUAAUUGUAAAUUUAAAUUUUAUUUUUAGUUAUAACAAAAUAUUGAGAAAUAAAUCUAACAAAAUCUUUCUAAAAAUUUAAAAUAUUCUAUUUAAAUUAAUACCAUUUAUUAAUUAAUUAAUUAAUAAUAUAUACUAUUAUACAUUAAUUUAAAUAAAAUUUUAUUAUAAAAAAAUAAAAUAAAAGUGUAUGCUAUUUUUCAAAUUUUAUAAUCAUAUUCUAUAUCUUCUUUAUUAAAAGAAAUACCAUAAAAAUUUAUACUAGAUUUAUUUCAUCAAUUACAUCUAUUUGACUAUUUAAGUUAAUCUAUUUCAUAUAUAACAUUUCUAAAAAAAUCUUAUAAAUUAUAUAGAUAUUAAUAAAUAAAUUUUAAUUGUAAAUUUAAAUUUUAUUUUUACUUAUAACAAAAUAUGUUGAAAAAACUUAACAAAAUCUUAAUAAAAUUUUAAAAUAUUUUUAAAUUAAUGCAAAGAUUGAUUUCAUAUUGAUUUCAUAAUUAAUACUAUAGUAUUAUUAUAAUGUAUUUACUUAUAAAAUCCCAAAUAUACUAAAAUAAAUAACAUAGAAAUAUAAAUUAUCCUAAGAAAAUAUCAGUUUUAUAGUAUAACUAAAUAAAAUUUUAAAAUGAAUUGUAUUCAGUCUAUAAAAAUUAGAAAAAAUGAAGGAGAUUCUCAAUUUUUUUAUUUCAUACUAUGAACUUAUUUUACCAAAUUCGAAAAUAUAUUAAUAUAUAAUAACAAUUAAUAAUAAAGUAAAAUAUAUAAAACAAACAAAACUAAUAACAUUAUAGAUUUACACAAUAUAUAACACUAAAAUGUAAAUAUCUUUUAAAGUUUUAUGAUGGUAUCCGUUAUAUAUUUAUAAAAUGAAAAUCUACACGGGUGAAAAAUCUAGUCCUUAAUUAAAUCAUAAACCCUACACCCACCAAAAUAAGCCUAUUUAUUAUUCCCAAAACUUUAAACAUGUAUCAAAAAAAUAACAACAAGUGAACAGUCAGUUUUAGCAUUUAAAGAAAAAAAAACGUUUCAUGUGGUUUGACUAAACGGACGUCGACGUAUCGCGAAACUGCUUGCAACUCCGGUAUCAAAUCUUCUACUUUAAAAGCACACAUUUAUUAUGGGAUCCAUAUUACUACCCAUGGAUAAUUUCAUACUAUAAUUUACAUGCAAAUAAUCAUCUCUCACCAUGUGUUAGUCUAUAUAAUAGAGAUUAAGCUUCAAACCCAAAAUACAAACUCCUCUCCAAACACAACUAAAUGAGAGAGAGAGAGAUAGAGAGAGAUCGGGAAAAAUGGGUGAUUCAUUGCUUCUUCACGAUCUCAAAGUGACGGUCAAUCAUCACGCUUUGAUGUCCAAAUGGUUCGUUUCUUCCGACAAAACAAGGAUUAUCCUCCAGCGAUUGUGGCGGAGAUGGUGAAAAAAGGCGUUGGUGAGAGCAAUGGACGUUUACGAGUUUUUGCCCGGGAGACUUCGCCUGAACCCUAGCUCUGGACGCCUGGAUGUUAACUGUAACGGUGCCUGAGCUGGGUUUGUUGCGGAGAGUGGGUUCACUCUGGAGGAACUUGGAGAUUUGGUUUAUCCAAAUUCAGGUUUUUUUUUCUAAAUUGGUUGCAAGUCAGCUUCAAUCUUUGCCUAAAGAUGAUCAACCAUUGUUUGCUUUUCAGGUAACCAACGAUUGCUUCCUAAACCUAUAUAUACUUUUCCAAAUCAUAUUGUUUUUUGUAGAGUAAUAUAUCACCCAACAAAAAUAUGUCACAAGUUUAAGUAUACAUCAUAUAAUAAAAACACGAACAAACCUCCGCAGAAUCUCUAAAAAGACUAGACCACAAAAGGCAAAUGGACUCUUUAUUUUAGUAUUUUAUUCAUGAUUAGUUUUGUGUAACUUUUUAUCGAAUCUGCUAAAGAAAGAACUUGCAAACAUCAGCAGAAGAGUUCAUGCUUCUUGUUUCACAGUCAAUUUACGGAAUUUCCUUUCUUCGGUUUCAAAUAGUAAAAUGAUUUUGCAGCAUGCCAGCUGUCGGAGGCUCCUGAUGCAAACUGGAAAAGGACGAUGACAACCAGGAGGUGAACACAAUAUGUAAAAGAUGAGAGAUCCACGGCAUGUGCCAUAUGGUAAGUCAAAUUAAUCUUUUGAACAAAAGUAUAUAUAAAUGAAAAUUAUCAGCUCUUUUGGCUUAGGUUCAAUAGUCUCAUUCAACUCAAGUUUAAGUUCUUAAAUUUUUGUACACAUAUUUUAAUAUUUUAGUUAUAAUUUCGUAAGAUAAGUUUUUAUUUUUUUCUUUUUGCUAUCGAAUAGAAAAUAUAUAUAUAUUUUUACCACAAGGUUUUAAUACGUCCGACUAUCUCCACUAUAAGAGAAAAAGAACUAACAUCAUUUUUUUAUCUUCUUAAUAUUACUUUUUAUAUAAAUAAAACUUAAACUUUACUUAAGUUUUUUUUUGUAAAACAAUUUACUUAAAUUUUAGUCUAACAAUUAUUUUUAUUAAAUUUUCUGCAUUAUAUAAUAACUAAAAUUAAUAAAUGUUUAUGUACAAUAUAUUUUAUAAUAUUAAAAUUAUUUGAUAUUGUGAACACUAUCUCUCAUUUUCUUUGAUUUAACUAUUUAAAAUAAAUGUAAAAUUUUAUAAGAAUACAUAAUUUUAAAACUCUUGACAUGGACUUUUUGUUGAUAUUACUCAUUGGUGGGAUUAUACAAAAGAAAGUUUGGUUGGAAACUUCAAUAUACAUAAUAUUAAUAAUUAUCAAAAAUCUCAAUCGAUAAAAAUACUGUCCAAAAUAGGCCCAAAGGAUCUUAUUUACAGAAUAGACUUCGUGUCCAAAGUUGUUAUCGAGAAUUGGCUACUGAAUGUCUGAAGCAUAAGCCUUCUCUGAAGAAUAUCAUCAGACCUAUAAAACUUUCUCAUUUUAAUCUCAACAAAUAGUUUCUUGAUACCUUUGGAGGACAGCUACUUCUAGUAACUUACUGAUAACAAAAGCUUUUAAGUCAAUGUUACUCCCAUCCCUAGUUUAUUCAGUCUUCAACUCAACGACAUAGGACGCGGUUUAGGAUUUUGGAAUUCAUAUAUGAUCAGGGAUGAGGAAUAGGAAAAGUCAAAACUCAAACUCAGUGUUUCAACUUAAAUUGUUUGAAACACUGAGUUUGAGUUUUGACUUUUCCUAUUCCUCAUCCCUGAUCAUAUAUGAAUUCCAAAAUCCUAAACCGUGUCCUAUGUCGUUGAGUUGAAGACUGAAUAAACUAGGGAUGGGCACAAGUUAACAACAUAGGUUAUGGUUCAUGAUCAUGCAAUUCAUGUAUCAUCGGGGAGGAGGAUGUGGGAAGGUCAAAAAGUCAAACUCACUGUUUCAAACAAUGGAGUUUGAUUAUUUUGUAGAUGAUUUUGUACAUAUUAAACUUCAUAUAGAAGAACUGGAAAAUGAUAAGUCACAAUUCAAGUUUGGGAGUAACAUUGGCUUAAAAGAUUAUGUUGUUUGUGAGUUACUAGAACUAGUUGUCCAAAAUAGAUUAAGAAAUGAGUUGUUUGGGAUUAAAGUGAAGGUUUUAUAGGCUUGAGAAUAUUUAUCAGAGAAGGCGUAUGCUUCAAACAUUCAAUAGCAAUUUUUGGUAGUAGUUUCGGGCAACUUGACUAAAUCUAUUAUGCAAAUCUGAUAUUUUGUGUCUAUUUUGAACAGCGUUUUCAUCGACCAUACCUUUUUAAUAAUUAAAAAUUAUGUAAAUACUGAUGUUUCCGACCAAAUUUCCUUUUAUGGUAUAAGCCACCAAUGGGUGAUCUCACCAAAAAUCAAAAUUAAGAAUUUUAAAAUUAUAUUAUUCUAACAAAAUUUUACAUUUUAUUUUAAGUAGUUAAGAUAGUUUCAUAAUAUUAAACAUUUUUUAAUAUUAUAAAAUUAUACUGUACAUAAAUUUUUUUUAUUUAUUUUAGUUUUUAUUUAAUAAAUAAAAUAAAAUAAUUGUUAAAGUAAUACUUAAAUAAUGCGUUUUACAAAAAAAAAAGUAAACUAUAAGUUUUAUUGUUUGAAAAAAAAUAAUGUUAUGAAGAAAAAAAUCUAUUAGAUAGCAAAAAAAGGAAAAAAAUAAAAACUCAAUCUUAUGAAAAUAUAACUAUAAGAAUAUGUGUAGGAAAAAAAAUUAAGAACUAAAACUUGAGUUGUGUGGGACACUAUUAAACCUUUUAAGCCAAAAAAAAACUGAUAACAUAAUUUUGCUCAAGAGAUUAAUUUUACUUAGCAUAUGACACAUGUUGUGGAUAUCUCAUUUUCAUAUAAGUUUUACUUUUAGAAAAAACUAAUAUUAAUAAAAGAAAAAAAAACAUUUUUACAACUAGAUAACAAAGAAAAGGAGAAAAUAAAAACUCUUACCAAAUUAGUGGUGGUGCUUGCAACUGUUCUUUUGUUACUUAUCAUGGCCAUUGCACCUGGAAUCGUAUAGUGCUGCUACUGCAAAGGCUGCAGCAAGAAGGAAAGUGACUCGGGUUCGACACUCUGCUGCUACUUUGGUUUUGCAUUCCUACCUCGUCGUCCGGGUGAAGCAGCUGCGGCGGCAACGAGCAGCGGUGACUGAAUCUCAGAUGAUUGUGAUGGGCUGAAUUGGGCCUCGCUUAGUUAUAAUGGGCUGUUGUACCAAUCCCCUUAAUCAUCUAUGUAGGCUGUAGCCGUCUCUCUCUAAUCUCUAUGUUGUAACAAUCUCAAAUUAUAUUAUAAUACAAAGUAAAUCAAAAGGAUUUUCUUUCUCAUUCUAUGUCAUCUAAGAUUUCAUCCUCAGAGACCAAAAGGUAUCUUUGAUCGCCUAGAUUGUUCACUUCAAAGACGUGUGAAUCUCGUGAGCUGUGCAAGAGACUCCGGAUGUUGGAAUCCAUGGAGUUUUCACCGGAAGCCAAAUCAGGGUUUCACCUGCUAAUUUUCAAGUAUUUGCUACUUGGCUUAGCACGUUCAAGUAGUUUGAUUUAGUACUUGUACUUGGAUUGCUUGAAUCAAUAUAUGAAAAAUGAGGAAUCUACUGCACGUGUCAUAUGCUAAGUAAGAUUAAUCUAUUUAAUAAAAGUAUAUAAAUUAAAGUUAUCAAAUCUUUUGGUUUAAAUAUUGUCCCACUCAACUCAAAUUUGAGUUCUCAAAUUUUUUUCUGCCCAUUUUCUUAUAUUUAGUUAUAUUUUCAUAAGAUAAGUUUUUUUUUGCUAUCUAGUUGAAAGUAUUUUUUUUUCUUUUCUUAAUAUUAACUUUUUCUAAAAAUAAAACUUAUAUUUUACUUAAUUUUUUACUUAAGUUUGCAUACUCAUCAUCCCAUACAUAUACUCAUCACGCUUCCUCUGGAGUGACAAUGGUGUGCUUUCGUCUUGCGCCAUAUAUAGACUCUCUUCUCAAUCAAAUUCAGGAGCAGUAUAUGACAUUAAGGAACCAGAGCUACCUGCCAAUGCACCCCAACAAAAUCACUUUCGUCAAGUCCACCAUUCCAAAAUCUGAUGCUGGGAACCCGCUAACUCUGGAAUUGUGUUGAAGUAAAGAACGACGUGUCAAUGGUAAAUGCGGAGAGAAGGAAUGAAUGUGCUUCACUGAAGCUCUUUUACACAGAAUUGGACUCAUGCUUUCGUUCGGUUUAUAGAAUUUCAGAAUAGGGUUUAGGUUUUGAAAAUAGAGACAGAGUUGUUUGCCAAGAAUAUUAUUUUCUCAAGAGAGAGAUCGUUUUGAAAAUGGCAUACCAGUUGAUGGAACCAACCUGCUGCAAGAACUGAUGAACAGGUUUCGUUUCAGGCAUUCCUAUCUACUAUUUUACAUUCACAGAUCAUGAUGAUGAGUAUGUAUGGGAUGUUGGUGGAAAUUCAAUGCAGACAUAUUCCACGAAACUAGUCUCUGAUGCUUUAUGCCAAUCAAGCCUGCACGUUGCAUGGGAUCGUAUAACCGCCUAUUGAGGAAUCGUUUUGCUAGCUUCAGGGAUGACAUUCCAACUCUGUCUUCUGCCCUGAUGCAAACUAUGGAUAUCUUCUGAUCUUUGAGUUGUUCUAUUGCACUGCUCCACUCCAACCUUCACAUUAUUCAUCUCCUUGCCUGUCUGAUGAGAUCUUCCUUGGAAAUUACGCUGUUCGAUCAUUUGGGUUGCCUAAUCUCUACUGUCAACUAUCUCGUGUCGAUGAUUCUUCAAGGAUCUCAUCGAAUUAUUACUGAGAAUUGCCUCUUGGAUGCUCUGCUUCUUACUCGUAUCGUUGAGCUUUAAGGUCCAAUACAUUGAUAGCCUUGUCUACUUUUAUAUCGGUCUCCAAACCCAUUGUCUGGUUUUCUUUGCUCCUUCUCAUUGUAGCCUCCAAAUGUAUAGGACCAGCUCUGUCUCCAUGUACUUGCGUAAAAUAAUAUUGUGUGAACUGUGUAGUUUUUAACGUAUUCUUUUAUACUAUUCCUUGGGUUUCUGUUUCAUAUUGUUAGAUGUUUUACACUAGUAAUAGAUUAAGAUCUACGCCUUACGCGAAAUGAGUAUUAUAUAUAUAAAUUAUUUUAGGUAUUAUAUGUUUUUAUAUAUUAUGAAAUAAUAAAUAUAUAUUGAAUAAUUAAAAAUUUAGUAACUAUUACAUAUAUUAUUAAAUUGGUGAGAUAACUUUCUUAAUACACAUAAGGCUUCUCCAAACACACAGAAUCUCAAACGAAAGUGACCCACCCAGAAUCGUUAGCUUCUAUGACUCUAUGAACCAUAAAAAUUGUAGAAUCAAAAUCUUGGUUUUUUUAGCUCAUUGUGGAGAGAAAGUGAGAGAUAUGUUGUGUUUAGUUCACAAGAAUGAAAAAAGAAGAAGGGUAACUCAAUUUUGGAAGCAUUAAGAGCUUCAAAUUAGUUGUUCAUGGUGGUUGGAGUAUUGAUGACAAUGACAAUCUUGUAAUUAUUUGAAGAUGAUGAGGGUGAGAGAGUAAAAAUGUCAUUUUCGAAAAGAAAAAAAAAAUUGAUAGCAUUUUCGUGAAUUAUAUGAACUUGUGGGGUGAAUAGGACAAAACCAAAUUCCAAAAAAAAGAGGUUAGUUUUGUGUUUGACUUUAAAUUGUAUGUCAAUUCUGCAAAAACUCCUAAUCAAAUCUACAUGUAAUAUCCAUAUAUCUUCCAUAAAAAAAGUUUGUUACACAUUUUAGUUUAGAUAAUAUCAUUUGUUAAAUUAAAUUUGUUACAAGGCCUGAUCCAUCUAAUCUAUUAAAUAGCACAAAGUUUUGAUCUUAAAUACAGCCAUUAAAAUUUUAUGGGCCAAAUGUGUUUAAUAAUUUUAACAAAACUAAUUAUGAUUAGUUAUAAGUACACCGUAUAAAGUUGUUAAAAUUAUAUAAUAAUUUGAGUAAAAAAUAUAGAAUAUUUUAAAGUAAAAAAUGUAAGUUUAAAGUGAUCCAAGUCAAACUAUUAUACCAAAAAUGAAACAAGAUUCAAUACAAACUAACAACAUGUACAACACAAAUUACAACACCAUUAAAAUUGGAUAUAGAUUUCAAAUAUAUAUAUUACGAAAAAUAUAUAUAAAAAUUAUAUACACAUAUUAUAUACAAAAAAAAAAAAAAAAAUUUACAAAUCAAUUUACGCGUUUUAGCGCGGGUUAGAAUCUAGUUCAACCUUUGAAAUAAAGAUUCAACACUACCAUUGUUUAUGGUCUUAUCAUAUUCCUGAAUUUUUUAAACUAUUCUUUCAAAUCCCGUUCAGUAUGUAUAGUAUCCAACUUAAUCGUUCACGUGACUCGUCAUAGUUAAAUUUUCUUUGGUUAUAUAGUUAAUUUAUAAUGUUAUUAGACCGAAGCAUAAAAUCUUUAGACAAUCAAAUCACUUAUUAUAAGUGAUUGAACCUUUCAUAAAAAAUAAUAAUCUACAAAUCAUUAUAUUAUAUGCCCUUUUCAACUAUAUACAUUUGUAUAGUUUGAUCAGCUUUUUCAUAUUAAACUACAUCGAAAUUGCAUACAGUAUUUUAUAAAUUAUUUAGAUUUUAAAACUAAUAAAUGUGCACAUGGUGCAAAAUACCCUAACUGAUUAAGUACCUAAUGCAAUAAAACUAUACACUAUUUAUUUAGACACCACAUUAAAUAAUAGAUCACAUAUGGCAAGAAAAAAAAGAUUUACAAUAUACAUAAUAAAUAUUAUUAAACAUGAGAUCUAAAUUAUGUAUUUUAAUAACCGAUUAUAUUAUUUUAUAAUAUCACAUUCAACAAGAUUUUCCUCCAGGUCCACCAUAUGUGAACAAAUUAGAUUCUACGAGGAAAAAUCUUUUCUUUCCAUCUCUUAAUCCGUAACAUUUGUUGCUGUCUAAUAACUUAUCUAAAUUACUUAUGUCAAGCUCUUUGCCUUUAAAUUUAGAGUUUACAAUUACGAGGUGUCUAACGCGCGCUGAUUCAUCUUCAUUUUUAGAUGGUAGAUGACCAUUACCCAUUGGUGGGCUUAUACCCGAAGGAGAAGCUUGGACUGCUCCCGUAACUCCAACCAUGUUCACACUAUGACCUAUUACAUCAAAUAGUUCUUUUGGCCAAUAACCAAUAGCUAUAUCUUUCUUAAAGUUUCGCACAUGUGCUGUCCACCAAUGUCCUGACACUUCAUCCUUAAUUAGAAAAUAGCAAAUUAGCUCAAUAUACUAAAAGAAAUGGGAUACUAUAGAAUGAGGAAAAAUGGUAAUGAUGAGGGGAAUCAAAUUAAGGGAAAAUAGAGUAUGAAGUGCAAAUAAGGUAAAUAUUGUGUGUAGGGAGUACAAAUUCUCAUUAGAAAAUAGAACACUGUAAACGGUUUGUAAUACUCCAAAGAAAAUGUUACUAGAAAAAUAUGAAUAACACCUGUACAAUGCUAGGAAAAACAGCUCUAUCUCCUUUUCUGGGAUGAGGAAUAGGGCCAGAUAAAAGGUCAGUUUUUGACACUUGAAUAAAACCAGGGCAUAUUGUAUUAUAACAUCCAGCUCCAUCGGCACCCUAUCAAUAUUUAGUUUUAAUAUAUUAGUAUAAUUUAGAUAAUAAUUGAAACUAGUAUACAUCUAAAGUACAAAAAUCUAAAUACAUAUUGAAAGAAUAACUAAUUCGGUAUUAAGAAAUGUCUGAAUAAAUUUAUUUACCCAUGGUUUGUUUAGCCAAACUAGAUGAAUAAUAUUCAUAAAAGGUAAAACCAUGUGUAAACACAGUCAUUUUUUAAUAUUAAAAAAACCAGAAACAAAUCAUAUCGUUUUAGUUCUCAUUUUUAAAUACCAUUUAGCAUUUUAAUAUAAUAAAUUUUAAAACAGGAGAUGACUAUUAAUAAAUUUCAAUUUAAGUAUAUACAGAAGACAUAAUAGUCACUUAAAUACUGUUGCAAUGUAUGUGAAAACCUAUACCUUAAUACCUUUUUCUUUAUUAAACAUGGAAUUUUUAGUAACACUCUUAACCAUGGUUUAUAAUUUAGUUUGUAGUUUUUUUGUUAAGAAAUUAACAGAGAGUAUUUUAUAUGUUAAUUAUGUACCUUCCAAAACCCAUAACGCCACGUUUGUCCAUCACCAAAUAAACUUGGAUUUACCUAUUACUCAAAUAUAAAUAAAUAUAUGUAUAUAUAUAUAAUUAAAAUAAAAAUGUAAUUAAAUUAAAAUUUACCAUCCAGCCGGUUUGGAUAAAAUUAGUUUUGUUGUUUAAUACACUGCCAGCAUAUAUGUUAGCAUAUGAAGCUUGGUCUCUACUAAUGUUCAAAUCAUGCACAGUCAUCCAAGCUGCCACACCAUGGUAGGGACCUUGACCUUGUUCUCUAACUCCAGCAAUCUUCAAAUUACCGUACUCAAAUCAUACACGUUUGUAAGAUACAUAUUUAUAACUCAAAUAAUCCAUAAGACUUACAUGUUUCCCAUGGCUUUCGUCUGUGAGCGGGUUGAAGUGUCUCUCAGCCCAAUAUUGAGCAUUUGUGACAUAUUCUUUUGUAUUUUUCAAUAUAGGUACUGUUCCAUUUGGACACUCAACUCUUAUUCUGUUUUCAAUUUUAUUCUUCACUUGCUUUUUAGGUUUUAAGCUUGAAAAAGAUGGCUCCAUCUACUCCAAAUUAUAAAAUUACACGAUAGCAUUAGGCGAGAUUUAAGUAGUGUUAUAUAUUGCCUUAUACUUUCCCAAACAACAAUUCAAUAUUGCUUGACAAAACUUAAAUUAAUAUAUUUAGUUUGUUGAUUCAAUUGCUUACAAAAAAAAAAGAAGGUUUGUUGAUUCAAUUUUCUAAACAUCCCAUUUGAAAAAGUUAAAAUUCAAUAAAACUAUAAUAAACGUGGUUGACGAUUAAUUUCGUUUUUGUAUUUAAUUACUUUAUAAAUGUAAAUUUAAGAGAGUAAGGUAAAAGAAAACCAAACCUAAAACAAAAAGGAUUGUUAGCAAAAACUGUUGGAUUGAUUGUACUCACACAGUCAGUCAUCAUUUUUAAGUCAACUAAACAAGUAAUAAUUAGUGUAUAUACCAAAAUAAUAAAUUAAAAAUGUACCGUUUAAGAUUCAAGAACAUCUAUGGAAAAAAAUAUCUUGAUGAAUGAUACCUGGAUUUUAUGGUUUUUUAGUAGUGGAUGACUUAAUGAAGGUUGUUUAUAUAUAUCCACACAGUCGUAUAGAAUCUUCUCGUUUAGCUGUAAGAAAAUAUUUGGAAUCAAUACAGAAAGUAAUUUACAUAGUAUCAGUUUUAAAUUUUGAAUGGGUGUUAAUAUAUUUCUUAUUAUUCUUUUUAUCUACCUUGUAUGAUUUUACAUUUCUUACAAUUUCUCUAGAUUGAGCUAGGGAAACUAUGAAAACGACUAAAACGAGUUUGACAAAGAUAUUCAUGAACUAAAAUAAAAUUUCCGGAAAAGGUUUUAAUAUUUUUUUUGGUGGUGGAUACACCCCCAAAUGUUUAGGUAUUUUUAUAAUAGUUAAGGAUGAUAAAUCUAUGUUCCAUCCUUGUUUUCAGAUUACUAUUUUCCAUAUGGGUCCAUCAAGGUAUUUAUUACACAUUGGUUCACUUGGAUAUCAAAAGAUACAAAUCACACACACUUAAGUUUUCUUAAUUUGUUUUUUCCUACUUAUUAUAAUUUUCAAAACUUUUAUUGUGUUUAUUUUUAUAUACUUAGAUAAAUAUUUUAUCUUUUUAUUACCUUUUAAUAAAACAAUAUCAAUCCAUCGAGAUCCUAUUUAUAAUAAAAUGAAAUACAUAAUUAUUUGUUUAAUGUGGUUUGUUUAAUGUGUAUGUUACAUUGUUGACACGCAACAACAUCGACAUAUACUUUUCUGUAUUGCACUUUACCUUUCCUUUUUUUUUUUUUUUUUUUUUGAAUGAAUGCUAAAUUUUAUUCAUCAAAAAGCCUUUUUACAUCAAGUGAGACUUUAUAUGAAAAGAAGACUACUCCUAUUUCUUUACACUUUCUUUACUAGAGAACCAAAACUUCUACCUCAAAUCUGUAUUUACAUCCUAGUACCAAACCAGUAUUGCAAAACUACUUCAAGCCCUCCAAUUCCCUUCGACUGUACCAAGCUGAGUUUGUUUCUGAUGGCUUUGUCGAUGUGUUUUGUCAAGACAGUAGCAGGCAUAGGCUGUUCACCAUGCCGUCUUCUGUUUCUCUCUCUCCACAGCAUGUAGACAGUAGCUUGAAGAGUGUACCUGAAACAAAACUGUUUCUUCUUUUCCAUGGGCGAUGUGGCUAGUAGACUGACCAGCUCCUCCCACUUGCCUGAGUAGGAGUUGCGCAAAAUCCCCUUCAUGAGUGAUUCCCAAAUCUGCGUGGAAAACGAGCACUCAAAGAAGAGAUGAUUGCGAGACUCUAAAGCCCUUUUGCAUAGAACACAAGUGGUGUCUACCCCUUGACUCCAUACAGCAACCCGGUCCAUUGUAGCUAAUCUGCCUCUGAUGGCCAGCCAGGCCAUAAACGCAAACUUCGGCGUGGCUUGAGAGAACCAUAUACUACCACCCCAGUCACACUGAGUAGCACUGACUCUUGUCAUCCUCCAUGUUUCUUUAGUUGAAAAUCUCGGUUUGUAGCCGGAGUUCCAUCUCCACAUGUCAACAUCAUUUGCACCAACACCCUCCACUUCUUGUUUUGCUGCGAUAUGACUCAGCUCCAUAUCUAUCUGUUUUAGAAUCUCUCUUCUAUGCCUUGUCCUCCUCCGCCGCAAAGCUUCCGCUACUGUGGCUUCUCUCCUGAUACCCAUUGCAAUAACACCUCUUUCCCCUAGCAUCUCCGACAUAACACCCAAGCUGGACCAUUUAUCGUACCAGAAAGAAGUGUGGCGACCAUUGCCAACAGCUUUCAUGUGAAACGUCCUUGCCACUUCUCUCAGCUUUAGCAUUUUUUUCCAAAUCCAAGAACCCGCUUGUGUCUUAACACUAACUUCCCAGAAACUCUUCUUACGCAGAAGAUUUGAUCUGAUCCAUUUACUCCAAAGGGAAUCUCCCGCAACCAAUCUCCAUAUUAGCUUCAACCCCUGAACCUUAUUUACUUCCUUCAACGCUCUGAUGCCUAAUCCUCCUUCUUUUACCGGCUUACAAAUAUCAUGCCACGCCACCUUUGCACCUGUAGACUUAAGGUCUGGACCUGACCAAAGAAACGCAGAGCAGAGCUGUUCUAUCUCUUUGGUACAUUGACUUUGGCAAUCUAAAUGCAGCAGCCCAAAAGUUUAUAAUACUCAUCAGUACAGACUUUAUUAGCUGUAAUCUACCGGCAUAGGAGAGGAACCGGCUGGUCCAGGAACAGAUGCGAGUUCGGAUCCUUUCUAGCAGCGGUAAGAAGUCGUGUCUUCUCAUUGCUUGAGUCGUCAGAGGUAAACCCAAUCUCUCUACUUUAGUAAAAUAUAGGGGGUGAUUGGUUGGGCUUUAUCUCUCUACUUUAGCUUUAUUUAUUUUUAUUUUUUUUGAGCAAAGCUUUAUUUAUUUUUAAAUCACUAAAUUUUACCAAUCAUGCUUUAGCUUUACAUUGAAAAAUUAAAGUCUACAUCAAGUUUUUAUUUAAUUUUACCAAUCAUGUUUUAGCUUUAUUUUUAAAGCUACAACAAAAAAAAUAAAGCAAAAAUUUUUAUUAUGUAUUUUAGGCAAAAUGCUACAUCAUAUUUUUAUAGGCUGUAGAAUCUGUAAAAUGUAAACAAAAAUAUCUAUAAUAUCAAAUAAAUUAUAUAUAAUCAUAAUAAAAACAUUUAUAAAUAUUUUAAUUUUGAAUUUGAGUGUUUUUUAAUUAUUAAGAUAUUUAAAUAAUAUAAAUAUUAUUUACAUAUUACUUUUUAAAUUACAAUAAAUUUUGAUAAUUUAUAAAAAGAAUAUUAAUAUAAAUUAUUUUAAUUCAUAUAAAAUAAUAAUUUUAUAUAUACAACACAUAUUUCAUAUAUUUUAUUUUAAAAUAUCUACAGCCUAUAACUUAUAGCUACAACAAAUUUAACUACAGCAAAAGUCUCUGCAGAAAAAGUCUACAGUAACAACUUUACAACUACAAACAAUUUAUCUACAGCUAAACAACUACAACUAAAUUUUUUAAGCCACAGUCGAACCAAUCAUCACCAUAGUCUUUAUGUUUCUUAUUGUAAGUAGUUUUAGGAAUUCUUUUUUUUUUAGUUUUUAUAUAUUUAAGUAAUUUUUACAUUUAUUAGAUAUAGUCUAGCCAAUCUAAUAAUGUCAACUUUUUUUUAUAAUUGGUUAAACUUAUUAAUUAAGUAUUAAUUUUUUAAAAAUAAUAACCUUUUAAUAUUAGUGCUUUUAGUCUAAACUAUUUACAUUGUGAAAUAAAAGAAGUAUAAAUCUAUAUAUUGUUUUAAUAGGAAUUUUAGUGUACACAUUAAUUUCUGAAAUAUACUUUGGUUUAGUUAUUUAAGUUCAUUUUUAAUACACUUUCCAUAACAAUCCAAUUAAAAGCGUUCUUUCUCCUUGCAAUGUUAAUGGCCAUCGAAAAGGAGAAAUCUUCAAUUAAACUCUAGUCAGAUCAAAGUAUUAUACUGUUACCUAUUAAUACGUUUUUUCAUAUUUUUCGUCUAAGAUCUCAUCAAAGUCAGUGAAAUAUUUCUCCAGUAUCUCAUCAGAAAAAAAUUUCAAUGCUUUGGUCCUAUUUGUUCUUAGGAUAGCCAGUUUGUAAGGAAACAAACUGGUUUUGAACUCGCCACCGUAUUAUUUUAGACUAAAUCAGCGUUUUUAAAACCGGACCGAAAACUGAACCAGAUAAUAUUUAAGUCACGGUUCAAUAUGACUUAAACAUAAAUCUAAAAAUAAUGUUAGUAAAUAUGAUACAUAAUUAAAGUAUAAAUGAAUUUCAAACAUAAAAUAUUAUAAAUAUAAACUAGUUUUAUGUUUAAAUGGAUGGUUUAUAGAUUUUUGAUAGGUUAAGUGGUUUUUAUCAGUUUAAUAAUCUUGAGAUCCAAUUCGGCUACGUGACCGGUUCAUGUUCGAACCAAUUUUAGAACCAAUUGUAUUUAUAAGUUUUGAACAUUUUAAAAAAUGUUGAUCUAGGAAGAACCAAACUAUUUUUUUUUUUUGACAUCAUGUUGUUUCUAUGUAUUAGUAGGAACUGCGUGUCGUUUCGUGAUAUUUUUAACAUCGUGAUGUUUAAUGCAUUCUAAUAGAAACUGAGUGUAGUUUGUCAUUUAAUUCUAUGAAGCAGUUGGUUUCACAAAAGGUGAUAUGAUUGAUUGGGAAUAUGAAUUUGGAUAUUCAAGUGAGAUCUUCACAAUUUGGAAGCAGGGAAAUAUCGAGUUGUCUAAGUGUGGAAAAUGCUUUGAUAGUUCUCUUACCAAGUUGAAGGAAAACAUGGAUAGUUAGUUCCAUCAUGGCCAGCCUAGAGAAAGAUAAUUGGUCAACCAAAAACUGUUUCUUCAUAAACGAAUUGCCAAAUCAAAAGACUUGAUUAAGGUCUCUGGUGAUCAGCUGUUCCUACAAAGUUAUGCUUGGAGAGAAUAAAAAAAAAACAGAGGAUUAAAGAAUGGCUGGUCCACUUCCAAGAACUUGUCCACAUGACAGCAUGAAGAAACAAGAGGUUUGCCAAGAAGAUGUCUUGCGAUGUGUGUCGUUUAAUAAACCAGAAGACAGACAGAAAAGAUUCACCAAAAGCGAACCUAACAAGGAUCAAGAAAACAACCUGUGGGAUGAGUUAACUAGACAUGAUCAUUAAUGGAUUGAAGAGUUGCAAAAAAAUGAGAAGAACUCAGUUUGUUUCUGUUUAUGUCCUGGAGAGAAGAAGUAAAGAGAAAGAUAAUUACCUGGCUUAGCUACCACCUGGGAGAUCCGAUCAGAGAGUCCCGCCACUGUCUUGUCUGACUGAAGCUAGCUAGGAAUAUGGUUGACCAUCAAUUUAAUUCGCUCUUGUUGUUGUUCCAAACAAGAAAGUUAAUUUACUCUCUCUCCACUUGAUGAUGCAGAGCAGAGCGUUGUUAUUUGUAUUGGUAUCAUGUUGACAGACAGCAUUGACUACUCGAGAGAGAGAUAUCUCUAGUAAAAACGCAACACUUUGGAGUUUUUUUUUCUAAUCAAAAUGUCAAAGAGACUUGUGUUAUUUCUCAGACCAACAGAAACCAAAAGAAAAUCCUCCAUCAGUUUCUCCAGCCACCAGACAGAGAAUCGUUCAAAGUAAAACAUAAAACUCACGGGAGAUGAUGCAGAGAGAGAGAGAGAGAGAGAAG
rnacentral:lncRNA from 1 species